AGCCAUGGUCUCCGCCGUAGGACUCGGGCGGCACCGCUGGGCUUGCGGCCGUUGGGGGGAGCUUAUCGCGUGACCGUGGGAUCCUCGAUGGAGGGUCAAGAUUUGCUCGUGUGUUGGCUGGAAGGGGGAGUAGUGUUUGGACCGUCCGAUCCAGAUCGGAGGUGUGUGGAUAGUUUGGCUUCUAUUAGUUUUGGACCCUUAGAUUUUGAUCUGAUGGACAUGCUUGCGUACCGGUUCGGGCGCGGCUAAUUAAAUAUGUGCAGUCGGAUCAUGAUCGGAUGGCUCAGCUCGUCCGAUACCCUUUCGCCGAUAGACUUUGCUAAAUAGACCCUGCACUUAUCUCAAAUUAACCCGCAGUCCACGCGGUGGCGCUCUGAGUCAUUGUAUAUUUAGCGUAUAAACCCCUGUGCUUCCAGCUAUUCAUGCGCCCAGUCCAGGAAUUAAAGAAAAUAGGAAAAAUAGAUUUAGAAAUUGAUUUUGAGUGUAAAAAUAAUUAAAAACUUAUAUAAUUCAUAGAAAAUGCAUAUGAAGUCCAAAUAAAUCCAUUCCAAUUUCUAUAAUUUUAUAAUAUUAUUGUUUAUCAAUUAGUGCCACUGUUUUGGCAUGAAAGAUACAUUAAAAUUUAUCUAGUACUUAAUCAUGUAUUAAAUACAUAAAACCUUGGAAAAUUCAUAACUUAAAAUCUAUAACUCCAAAAUUAAUAAUUCCAGUUCCUAUGAUCUUAUUUUAAUGUCUAGAUUAUUAUUGUGUAUUUUAUCUACAUGUUUGGUGUAAUGUUAAUUUUUGCUAUACUAUGUAUGUAUUGUGUUGACGCGAGUAGACGAGCAAGCUACUAAGGAUCCUGAGGUUCAGCUGGUAGAGACUGCUGAGCAGGAGCUCGUUGAAGGCAAGUUGUACCCUUGAUCACUUCCUUUUUACCCAGUCAUGUUCUUGUUAAUCAUAAUGAUCUGCAUAGGUUAAUUUUGAUGGGACCCAAUAGGUUACCCUAGAUUUUGACUAUCUUUAUACCUUGUUUCACCACUGGUUUUACUACUAAAACUUUUGGGUAGUACAUGCUAUUGCUUUAUGUGGUUUUGGGUAUAAAGAUAUUCAUUACUCAUGUUUACACUUUUUAUUAUCUGUUCAUUAUUUACUAUUCAUGAUAAGAUCAUUAUGUUAAUGGGAACAUGGAGAACCACCCGGGAAAACAGUGCUACCACAAGGGUUUAAUGGGACGCCCUUGGCUGAUUAACUAGGAAAGCUAGUGGAUGACUACCUUACCCGAAAGGGGAAAGGGCAGUAGGGGAGUGGUCACUGUAGGGAGGUCCUUGGGUUGAUUUUGCUGCGAUGGCGGUCAGGCGAGGGAUUCCUGCACUGGAGCUUCCUAUAAACUGUAGCGGGUUUUCUGAAGCUAGUGGAACUUUGUAAAGGCCUCGUAAUGAUACCCUGCCUCGCUUCCUUGGUAGAGGUGUAUGGGGUCUGAUCAACUCCGUGGCAAAUGGGUAACACGACUUGUUGGUAAAGAUGUGCAACCUCUGCAGAGUGUAAAACUGGUAUACUAGCCGUGCUCACGGUCAUGAGCGGCUCGGACACUGACAUGAUUAAUUUAUGGAACUUAAACUUAAUCUGCCAUUUCAUUGCAUUUGGGAUUAUUUUAUUAUUAUUACUUUUUAUUACUAUGAUUCGGUAUUUACUUACACUUAGUAACCACUAAUAAAAUUUUGACCAACAUAUAAAAGCAAUGCUCAGCUUCAGUCUUUAUUACAUUGAUUAGCCUUACACUUCACAUGAAUCUCACCUUUGGUGAGUUCAUGCCACAUUAUUGCCCACAACUCGUUGAGCGAUGAACAUGUGUGAGCUCACCCUUGCUGUCUCACACCCCCCACAGAAGAAGAACAGGUGGUAGAAGAGGAGCCGCCUAACUCCGAGGCUUUCGACUUGAUCUAGGUGGCGUCUCCCAGUCAGCUUUCUGACGCCAAGGAUAGAUUUUAGUUCCUGCUAUAUUCAUCUUUUAUUUUGUAAGACUUCCGCUAUGUAAUAAGUACUCUGAUUUUAUUAUGACAUUUAUCUCUGUACACUCUAUUAUUAUAUAUGUUGUUUUCUUUGGCGCAUGUAUGAGAUGCACCCGGCUUUGUCCGUUGAAACCGGGUGUGACACUCUUUGACCAUACACCAGUUGUACUUGCCUCUGGGCCAGUUGAACUGGGGCUUUCUCUCCUGAACUCUCUGGUCAAGACCAGUUGAACUGGUCCCUAACCCCUCUGACCUCUAUCCAACAGUCUGUUAGUCAUAGUGGUAGAUAGGCCAACAGAGAUGUCAAGGGUGGUUCAACUGCCCCCCAGGGAGGUUCAACCAGUCUAGGUCAACUUGACCAGACUGCACAUCAGUCUGCCAGUCAGACUGGAAGAUAGUCUGACAGGCCUUCCAGGGGCGGUUCAACCGAUUUGGGGUCGGGACUUAUGGUCAAACGACUAGUUUUGAGCCGUGACUAUAAAUAGGACCCCACACCCCUCUCUUUAAUGCUACAGGUCACACCCACAUUCAUUGCUCACCUAACUUGAGACAAAGGCACACUUCUCUCCCUCUCACACUCAAAACUUGCUCUAGAUUCAACUCAGUUGAAGGAGCCCUUUGGUGUGAGGUUUGUGCUUGUGCUCACGAAUUUGUUUUCCCUCUCCCAUCUCAUUCUAAGUUCUUGAGCUUGUUGCAAACACCUCUUGUGCGUUUUUGGUGUUCUUGAAACCCUAGGUUUCAAGACGAUUUGAGGUUACUUGGGAGUCUCCAAAUUUGUGGACGACCCCAAGAAGUUUGUAAUCCUCGCUCUUGUGAGCAACGUUUGAGAUAAGUAAUCCCUUGACCUUGGUGGUCGGGUUGUGGAGGAUUAGGGUUGAAAAAGACCCGUCCCUUUGUGGGCUUCUCAACAGGGAGUAGGACACCUUUGUGGUGUGGUCGAACCUUGAUAUAAAUCUUAUGUCUUGUGUUCUUGCUCGUUCUGUGAUUGAGAUCUUAUUUGGCAAGAUAGACAUAUAGGUUUACUCGAUGUGUGGAUCUUGUGGUGAAAUAACUCUCGUAUCUUCACCAUCCACACUUUCCCUAUUAGUUGCAUUUUUCCUCUACAAGAGAUUCACACUAUAUUUUUAGCAUAGUUCAUAGUCUGACUUACUUUAACAGUUGGACUGGUUCAGAGUAGUUCAACUUGCCCGUGUAGCAAUUGAACUGGCCUGCACCAGUUGAACUAUAGUUUUAACAAUAUUUCCAAGUUUGUGGUGAAAAUUUUUAGGUUAGCCUAUUCACCCCCCUUUAGGCUACUUUUAAUUGGUAUUGGAGCUUCGUGCCUCGUUUUACGCUUAAUCGCGUGAAUAAACGAUCAUGUCUACAUAAAGGGACCAUGUGGAUCCUCUUCUCGAGGAAAUCCCUACCACAUCCACUGGUGAGGAAAUGGACCCCAAGGUCCUCGACCUCGCCAUGAAUAUUGCUGAGAAAAUGUUCCUCAAGAUAAAAGAGGAAGAUGCAAAGAAAAGGGUCGAAGAAGGAGAAUCAAGAUGAAUGGCCGAACAAGACAAAGGAAAGGGAAGAAUUGAAUACAACGAUGACUUGGUAGAGCUUUUGGUGUCAAAGGUGAUGAGCAAGGUUAGUCUCACUACCGAAGGGUCAUCCACCAAAAGUAAAGGUAACGAAUUCAAUAAAGUUCAAUUUGAUUAUUCUCGAAAUUUUAUUCCCAACUUCACUUCGGUGCCACUUGGAAAGUUACCAACUCUUAGUGAGUUGAACUAUGAUGAGUGGGCCGAUAAGGCGAAGUCGCAUCUAAUCGGUGUGCAUCCGAGUCUUUGGGAGAUUGUUAACAUAGGUAUGAACAAGCCCGUCCACGGAGAAGAGAUGACGUCGGAAAUGAUGCAAGAGGUGCAUCGCAAUGCACAAGCUGUUAGCAACAUCAAAGGAAGCUUGUGUCCGGAAGAAUAUUGAAAAGUCCAAGGAAGAUAUGAUGCUCGUGAUGUUUGGAACAUUAACAAAAUGUCACAUGAAGGAGAUCCUAAAGUGAAGAGACAUAGGUUUGAUCGGUUGAUGGUUCUUGUCAAUAAGAUAAGAAUCUUAGGAAGUGAGGAUUGGAGUGACUCUAAAGUCACUAGGCUUUUAUGAGAGCCUACAAAGAGAAGGACAAGAGCUUAGCAAGAAUGAUAAGAGAUCAUGAUGACUAUGAGGAGAUGACUCCUCAUCAACUAUUUGCUAAGAUCCAACAACAUGAGUCUGAGGAAGCUCCAACCAAGACAAGGGAGUCUCAUGCCUUGGUUGCAAAUGAACAAGAAUCUUCCAAAAAGAGUUCCAUGAGCAAAGAUCACAGAUCCAAGAAAAGUGUUGAAAGCUCAAGUGAAGAUGAAAGCUCAAGCGAUGAAGACACGACAAUGUUUAUCAAGACUUUCAAGAAAUUUGUAAGAAAGAAUGAAAAAUAUCAAAGGAAAGGAAGAAAGAGGGCAUGCUAUGAAUGUGGCCAAACCGAUCAUUUCUUAGCAGAUUGUCCAAAUAAGAAGGAACAAGAAGCUAAGAAGGACCACAAAAAGGACAAGUUCAAGAACGGAGGCAAGAGCAAGGGAUACUUAAAGAAGAAGAAGUAUGGCCAAGCUCACAUUGGCGAAGAAUGGAACCCCAACGAGGAGAGUUCUAGCUCGGAAGAAGAGGAAGAGGUGGCAAACAUUGCCAUCCAAUCCAUCUCGACCUCGUGACUCUUCACCAACCUCUCCGACGACUCCUACACUCCUACUUGCCUCAUGGAAAAUGAGAUAAGGUACGUUUAUUUAAUGUUGAUUUUACAAAUGAUGAUGUUGAUGAACAACUUGCUAUGAAAAAUAAAAUGAUUAAAGAAUUUGGCUUAAACGAAUAUAAUGUAAUCACUAAACUAAUGGAGAAGCUAGAUUAAAGAAAAGCAACCCUUGAUGCUCAAGAAGACUUACUCAUCCUUGAAAAGGAGAGAAACCUCAAACUUCAAGGGUUGCUAUCCAAUAAGGAUGAAAUGCUUGAAGUAUUGACUAAGGAAAUGUCUUUAGUCAAAAUAACUAUAGAGGAUAAAGAGAAAGAAAUUGCUAUUGCUAAAACCUCUAUAGUUAGUCUUGCAAAUGCAAAAGAAGCACUUGAAUCAAGCUUAUCAAGCUUAACAGUUCAAAAUCAAGAACUUCAAGUGCAACUUGAAACAUGCAAGAACUUCACCACUUCAUCUUUAGUGGUAGAGUCUAAAGCUAGCUCCUCCAACUCUAAUACUUGUAAACAAUGUUCAAAAUAUCAUGCUUCUUGUUGUUUGAGUAACCAUGCAAGGAAGAACAACUCAAAGGUUGAAGUCAAGCAAAUAUUGAAGAAAUGCUCUAGCAAUGAUGGGUCCAAGAAAGUUGAACCCAAGUACAAAUCCUUGAAGCCCAACAAUGGGAAAAAGGGACUUGGGUACAACACAUACAAGGUGAACCCUAACAUAGAGCAUAAGGGGUGGAGAUCCCCUAAGUUCAUAGAAGGAACUACCCUAUAUGAUGCCUUGGGGAGGAUCCAGUCUUCAAAUGACAAGCCAAUCAAGUAAAGGUCAACUUGAGUAACACAAAGGAUAAGAUGAAGAAUGUUGUCUCCACAAAUGGAGAGAAGUCUAAAGUUCCUAUCUCUCACUCCUACCUUUGUGACUAUAUGUUAACAUGUGAUUUAGGAAAAUUAGUUGUGAAAUAUGUGGGUGCCUACACUAAGAGAAAGGUUAUGAAAAUGAGUGUGUGAGUACCCAAGGCAAUAACUAACACUGCAGGACCCAAUUCAAUUUGGAUACCUAAAAGCAUAGCAUAAACUUGUUUUGCAGGUCUACUCCUCCAAUGGGUCAAGCUGGGUGCUUGAUAGUGGAUGUACAAAUCACAUGACCGAGGAGAAAGACAUGUUUCACUCCUUGCAACUAACUCAAGAAGCACAAGAAAUCGUGUUUGGAUAUAGUGGCAACAGUGAAGUGAUUGGUAUUGGUAACAUCUCCAUCGCUGACCACCAGUCGCUUUCAAAUAUUUUGUUAGUUAAUUCAUAAAGCUAUAACUUGUUGUUCGUUUCAUAGCUUUGUGGAAUGGGAUAUGAUUGCCUAUUUAGUAAUGUUGAUGUGAAAAUCCUUAUAAGUUAGGAUUCCUUUGUUGCUUUUAUGGGUCGCUUGAAGGGCAAACUCUAUCUUGUUGAUUUCACAACAAGUAAAGUGACGCCUGAGACUUGUUUAGUGGCAAAAUCCAACAAGGGUUGGCUUUGGCAUCGUCGGCUAGCUCAUGUUGGCAUGAGGAACUUGGCCAAACUUCAAAAGGAUAAUCACAUCAUUGGACUAACAAAUGUUAUGUUUGAUAAAGACAGGAUAUGUUGUGCAUGUCAGGCAGGAAAGCAACAUGGUGUUCCACAUCAACCAAAGAAUGUGGUCACAACUAAGAGGCCUUUGGAGCUUUUUCAUAUGGACCUCUUCGGACCCGUGGCCUACAUAAGUAUUGGUGGCAGUAAGUAUGGAUUAGUUAUUCUUGAUGAUUUUUCUCGCUUCACCUGGGUUUUCUUCUUGAGUGAUAAAGGUGAAACCCAAGAAAUAUUGAAAAAGUUUAUGAGAAGAGCUCAAAAUGAGUUUGAGCUAAAGAUCAAGAAAGUGAGAAGCGACAAUGGAACAUAGUUCAAGAAUACAGGUUGAAGAGUUCUUAGGCGAAGAAGGGAUCAAAUACGAGUUCUUGGUUCCCUACACCCCACAACAAAAUGGUGUGGUGGAGAGGAAGAAUCUAACACUUAUUGAAGCCGCCAGAACUAUGUUGGAUGAAUAUAAGACACCUGACAACUUUUGGGCAGAGGCGGUCAACACCACCUGUCAUGCAAUCAACCGCCUCUACCUCCACAAGAUUUAUAAGAAGACUGCUUAUGAGCUUCUCACUGGUAACAAACCUAAGGUUGAUUACUUUAGGGUUUUUGGUUAUAAAUGCUUUAUUCUUAACAAGAAAGUCAAGAGCUCGAAGUUUGCUCCUAGAGUGGACGAGAGUUUCUUGCUUGGCUACGCAUGAAAUGCACAUGGAUAUCGUGUUUUCAACAAUACCACUGUUCUUGUUGAAAUAGCGGUAGACGUGACAUUUGAUGAAUCUAAUGGCUCGCAAGGGCAUAUUUCUAGUGAUAUUGCAGGAACUGAAAACUUACCUUGUGAGGCAAUCAAGAAGCUCACAAUAGGUGAAGUUAGGACACAAGAGAAGGACGAUGAUGAAGGGAGAAUUUGGAUGACAAAUGGGGUCACUGAUGGGGGUGCAAAGGUAGUUGGUGAUAAGUCUUCCACCCAAGAAAACCCAUCAACCUCAAGUCAUCCAAUCAUUGAAGAAGUUCUUCAACCACAAGAUAUGCCAAUCAUUGUGGAAAAUGAGCAAGAAGUUGUUGCUAGUGAAGAACCUCUUGAACAAGAGGAAAGCGAUGAUCAAAUACAAAGACAUCCUCUGGUGCCUCACCCUCGAGUGCACUAGGGCAUUCAAAGAGAUCAUCCCGUGGACAACAUCCUUGGUAGCAUCAGGAGAAGGGUAACAACUCAAUCUCGUUUAGCAAUUUUUUGUGAAUUUUACUCGUUUGUUUCCUCUCUUGAACCACUUAGGGUAGAAGAAGCACUAAGUGAUCCAGACUGGAUUAUUGCUAUUCAAGAAGAGCUAAACAAUUUCACAAGAAAUGAAGUCUAGUCCUUAGUAGAAAGACCCAAGCAAAACAUCAUUAGAACCAAAUGGGUCUUUCGCAACAAGCAAGAUGAAAAUGGCAUGGUAAGAAGGAAUAAGGCAUGAUUGGUUGCUCAAGGUUUCACUCAAGUGGAGGGACUUGACUUUGGGGAAACCUAUGCACCAGUAGCAAGGUUAGAGUCAAUAAGAAUAUUAAUUGUCUAUGCUACUAACCAUGAUUUUCAAGUUGUAUCAAAUGGAUGUCAAGAGUGCAUUUCUAAAUGGGCCACUACAAGGGUUGGUCUAUAUGGAACAACCGCCGGGCUUUGAAUAUCCAAAGAAGCCAAACCAUGUCUUCCUUCUCCACAAAGCGCUCUAUGGGCUUAAACAAGCCCCUAGAGCUUGGUAUGAAUGUCUUAAGGAUUUCUUGCUUAAAAUGGUUUUGAAAUAGGAAAAAUAUACUCUACUUUAUUUACUCGCAAAGUUGAUAAUCAAUUAUUUGUGUGCCAGAUAUAUGUCAAUGACAUUAUAUUUGGUAGUACUGAUGAAAAUUUUUGUGAGGAAUUUAGUAGGGUUAUGACUAAUAGGUUUGAGAUGUCCAUGAUGGGCGAGCUAAAGUACUUCCUGAGAUUCCAAGUAAAACAACUCAGGGGAGGAACUUUUCUAUGCCAAACUAAGUAUACACAAGACAUGCUCAAGAAGUUUGGCAUGGAGAAGGCAAAGCACGCCAAGACCACAAUGGCUUCAAAUGGGCAUCUCAACCUAAAUGAAGAAGGUAAAUCAGUAGAUCAAAAACUCUAUAGAUCUAUGAUAGGAUCUCUACUGUAUUUAUGUGUAUCUAGACUAGAUAUUAUGCUUAGUGUGUGCAUGUGUGCUCGCUUUCAAGCUAAUCUGAAAGAGUGACACUUAGUGGCUGUUAAGAGAAUCUUGAGAUAUCUAGUUCACACCCAAAACCUAGGUCUUUGGUAUCCUAAAGGCUCCUUUUUCGAUUUAUUUGGCUACUCUAACUCAGACUAUGUUGGUUGCAAGGUAGAUCAAAAAGCACCUCGAGGACUUGCCAAUUCCUUGGGCGGUCCCCAGUGUCAUGGAGCUCAAAGAAACAAAACUGUGUUGCACUUUCCACUGUCGAAGCUGAAUACAUAGCCGCUGGUGCAUGUUGUGCUUAGUUGUUAUGGAUGAAACAAACCUUGAGGGAUUUUGACUGUGAGUUUAAAAGAAUUACAUUACUGUGUGACAAUGAGAGCGCAAUGAAACUAGCCAACAAUCCCGUGCAGCACUCUAGAUAUUAGACACCAUUUUCUGAGGUACCAUGAAGCAAAAGGAGAUAUCGAAUUAUGUCAUGUAAACACAGAAAAUCAACUAGACGAUAUCUUCACAAAACCCCUCGAUGAGACUAGGUUUUGCUUUCUUAGGAAUGAACUAAAUAUUUUGGAUUCUCGUAACUUAACUUGAAAGCUGAUACACAAAUUAUUUGAAUUUUUUAAUGGUGGAAUUAAUUUUAAAGAUUUUCAAAAAUAAUGCUUUUCAAUCUAAUGUGUGUAUUUUGGGUUGAGAAUGGCAUAAAUGAGCCAUAUAAAAAAAAUUCUCAACUCAUUCCAAGUUCAACUCGGACAACCAGGUGAACUUCCAAGUUCACCUGGAGAGACCAGCUGAACUUCAAAGCUCAACUGGAGAGACCAGCUGAACUUCAAAGCUCAACUUCAGCUCAACUGGUUCUCCACAGGAACCUCCCUGGUUCAUACCGGUUAAACCGGUUUCCUGGCCGGUUGAACCAGUCCCUGACCGGUCCGCUGUCAGUGGUCAAUCUGACCAUUCUGACCGUCUGACGUGCGGUCAGACUAUGCUAUCAGACUGCUGACAGUGUGCAGUGUCAAUCUACACCUGAUGUGUCAGAACCUUUUUUCUGGCGCAGACCGGUUGAACUGGCCCCCUCAUACCGGUUGAACCGGACCUGUUGGGCUGACCGGCGAUCAGAUGGUCAAACUGAUCGAUUUGACUGUGCAGUGCGUCAUCUUUUACUUUUUGUGAGAUCAUCUUUUACUUUUUGUCAGAACAACUUUUACUUUUGUCAGAAAAACUUUAUCUUUUGUUAGAAUUCCUUUUUCUGACAGAUUCUGUGCUGUGUCAGAUUCCUUUUUCUGCCUGAUACCGAUUGGAUCGGUCCCUAUACUGGUUGAACCGGUUUCAACCCGCCUGGUCCAAAUCUCUAUUUAAAGGCCCCCUCUCUUCUCUCCUUGUUGGGGGCCUUCGGCUUACGAAGGUCCUCAAAAACAGGAUUUAACAGUAUUUCUGGAGUAUAAUGUGUGAACAGGUAUCUUCGGACUCGAGUCGGUAUCACAGUAGGAGAAGCCCAAAAUAAUACGAAGGUUGAUACAGCGCCGAAGAUGUGAGCGGGAAAGCUUCGGCGUGAUAGCAGAAAAUGAAACCGACUUAAAGAUGAAAAGGCUAUUCAGACCUCGGUGGAUUACUAUAGAAUUAUUACCAAAUGUAAAGGGCAUGAAUGUAAUUUUGUAUGGGCUGUGUCCCGUGUCUAUAAAUAGGUGAACAGUACCCCCGUACUGUUCACGCUGAUUUGGCAUUUGCUUUUGCGUCACACCUGUACUUUCAUCUCCUUCCAAGCUAAAGGUACAUUUGUAAUUCGAUGUCAUUUCUGUUUCUUCAUAAUAAUAAUGCAAAAAUAAGUUGAUAAUAAUAUAUAAUUGUCUAUGUUAUCCUUCAUAUUCCUUAUGAUUCAUUCUUCGUCAUCGUAUGCUGUGUUUAUGAAGGUACGUCCUUCAUAACCUUCGUCCGAAAAUCAUUAUAUCCUAAGGGAAAUAAUGCUUCGAAGGACGAAGGACUUUAUCGAUUAACAUUUUUUUGUUGCCUUGUUCUUAACUCAUAGCAUUUGAGAACAAGUCCCCAACAUUGGCGCCCACCUCCGGUGAACUCACUUCCACUCUUUGAGUUUUUGAACACCUUCGGCGAUCAUAAACCUUCGCUAUGGCGCCGAAGAAAGCUUCAGCAACUGGGGCUGCAGCUCUGCAACCGCUGGACCACAAUCAGGAGAUAGUCUCCCUUCGGGAGGCCCGAAGCCAGAAAAGGAAGGCUGUUAGCCCGACACCGCCAGAGGAUGAGAUAGACCAAGAAAUCAGAGACAUGGAGAUGCUUCAUCAACAGGUGCAGAGGAAGAAGGAAAAGAUGGCCAGGCUAGCUGAACUGCAAAGGCAGAUAGACGAAGCCUCUGAAGAAGUUCGUCAUCUUACUCAGGAUGAGCAACACCGAAGGCCUCAGCACCAAGACCUUCAUCAGGAGGGUUUCCUCAACGAAGAUGACUGGUAUGACAAUUUCCAUCAUGGGAAUUUUGUUUUUGAUGAUGCUUCUCCUCUGUCCGCUGAGCUGCAGGCUACACCUUGGCCUCCGUCCUACAAGCCGCCUCAGCUUCCCAUAUUCGAUGGCCACUCAGACCCGAAGCAGUUUUUGAUGAGCUACGAAGCAACAGUAUCUUCGUAUGGUGGCAAUGCUGCAGUCAUGGCCAAAUCUUUUGUUAUGGCUGUCAGGAGUGUUGCUCAAACCUGGUAUUCUUCCCUUCGACCAGGAACGAUCACUUCAUGGCAAAAGCUGAAGGACUUGCUGUUAACCAGCUUCCAAGGGUUUCAGACAAAGCCGGUCACUGCUCAAGCUCUAUUCCAGUGCACCCAGGAUCACGAAGAAUACCUUCAGGCGUACGUCCGGAGGUUCUUGCGUUUGAGGGCACAGGCACCAACAGUGCCCAACGAAAUUGUCAUUGAGGCCAUGAUCAAGGGGCUUCGGCCAGGACCUUCAGCUCAGUACUUCACUAGGAAGCCUCCUCAAACUUUGGAGAAGCUGCUCCAGAAGAUGGACGAGUAUAUUCGGGCCGAUAAUGAUUUUCGUCAAAGAAGGGAGGAGGCUUUCAGGUUUUCUGAAAUGACCAGGGGCUUCGGAGGAAGAUUCUAUCCGAGGCAUGUUAGGUCAAUCCAUAACUCUACUCAAAAUGAUGAUAGGGGGAGCCAGCAGCAAAGGCCACAGUGCUCCUCACAGUCUUCGGGGCAACAGCAAGGCUCUUUCCGACCACCAGCUCCAAGAGGCAGAGGCGCCAGGGACUUCGGCGGAAGAUUUGGAGAUCAACCAAGAAGAAUUUUUUGCUUGUUCUGUGGUGAGAACAAGGGCCAUACCACCAGGAUGUGCCAUGUUACCAUCCAGAAGCAAAAGGAAAUAGCCGAAGCUGCGGCACAACAGGCUCAGCCGAAGUUGGUCAUGCACACUGCUUCGUAUCAUUCGCCUUACAUUCCAGAAUAUGUAGGCAACCACCCUGCAGUUUCUGUUGCUUCGGCGAGUCAACCUCAAGCUUCCUGGCAACAGCCUCCGCCUCCACCACCGCUGCAACAAGGCCAACAGCCAGAAGGGAGCCAAUAUGCUCCACACCAAAGGGACUUCAGAGAACAGUCCGAAGCUUGCACAGUCAACAGCACUGUGCCAGAGUCGAAGCACAUCUAUUGACAAAUAUCCUACCUUGAUAGCAGUCUUUUUCAUUCAGUUUUAUUUUCUGUGUAAUAAAGGACAUUUUUCAAAUUCCAUGUAAUAGUUUCGUUGUUUGCCACAAGGGAAAUAUAUUUUCUUCACAGGCUUAAGUCGUUGAAGCUUAAAAGAUUUGCGAUAACAAGGAGGACCUUCGAAUUAUCAAAAAAAUUUUACGAAGCAACAAAAAGUCGUUCUAAGGAACGCAGAGUAAGUUUGCUGAAGUCACAAAAAGCCGUUCCAAAGGGAGCGCAGUGUAAGUUUUCUGCUCCAAAGUCGUUCCAAAGGGAAUGCAGAGCUUACAGCGAAAAGUCAACGCUGAUACCGCCUAAAGUAAAAGGCGAAGCGCGAAAAGUCAACGCGAAUACCGCUGAAAGUAAAAGGCGAAGAAGCUCCUAAGGGAGGCUUAUAGCGAAAAAUAAACGCUGAUUCCGCUGAAGUAAAAGGCGAAGAAGCUCCUAAGGGAGGCUUAUAGCAAAAAGACAACGCUGAUUCAAAAAGAUUAUGUGUUUUAUCGCAAGGAUGUGUGUGUAUUUUUGGAAUAAACACCAUCUUACAUAACAUAACAUCAUCGCAUCAUUUCGCAUAGCAUAAGCAUCAUACAUCAUGCUGCAUAUGGCACAAGAGGGGGACACAAUAUCGAUCUUCAGAAGAAUGUUUUGAAAAAUGGGAAAAUCAUGCUAAGUCGCAAGGAGAUACACUAUUGAUCUUCGGAAGUGUAUCUUCGGAAAAUAUCUUCACGAAGCUUGGAUAUUAUUCAUCAGAACACUACGGAUAUUGUUGUGACAAAUAAAAAUUCUUCUUCACGAAGCAUGAAAAGAAGGGAAGGUGUUUUUUCGUCAAAGACUCAAAAACGGUAUGUAUGUAAAAUUUCAUGCAUCGUAAAGAAUUGAACAAAAAAAACAGGUAUAUUAUAUUCAGGGUUACAAGAUGUUAUAUAUGUUACAUUUCAGAAGUUUUUACAAUAGUACUUAAUCUUCUCUCAGAACAACUUCUGCAGCCUCAUUCAGGAGCCGAUUAACGACUUCAUCCAUGAUAGCUUCAGCCAUCUUUUUAAUUUCGUCGUCUCCUUUCGGGUGAGGGCCCGGAGACGCUUUAGUAGGAUCUGAAGGAGGACAGGAUACGACUACAUUGCUAUUACAAAUUGCGAACGAAGUUUAAAACCAAAAAUUACAACACAAUAAAAACCAUUAGUUAAUACCUAGUUGCCCUUCGGGCUCUGCGCUCUUCUCAGCAGCCUCAGCCACUUCUCUAGCAUCGUGAAUACCCUUCUCGCUUUUUUGGAUAAUUUCUCGAGCCAUUUCUCGACCGCCAUUAUCCCAGACAUCGGUGAAAAAUUUUCCACCAACCAUGCUAGCUUCGGCUGAAGGAUCUCUCGCAUCUUCGAAGGACAAGGUAGCUUCGGAUUGCGCUAAAAUCUUUACAUGCUCGCAGCCCUUUUUCUCCAAAAUGGUGGCAAUCCCCCUGGCACCCGAGAAAGCACAUAUGUCUCCGCGGCUAUUUAAAAUUUCCUCGAAGGCCUCAGCUUCGUGAUUAAUCCAUUCGAUGGGACCUUCGGGUUGCCUCUUGUAAAAUUUUCUUCGCUCGAGAAUGCGCCGACACUAGCGAAGCUAGCUUUCAACUUCUUAACACACUCCAUAGAUUUGUUAUAGCAUCUUUUCCUGGACGAACGAAGCUCUUCAACAGUUCCCUCUAAAUGAUUUGCCCAUUGGUCGCUAAGUUCUCGCUUCGUUUCUUCAAGUAUGCGUUCCUCUUUGGCUCUGGCCAGUUGUUUUCGAAGAUCUUCAAUUUCACGCUUCUGAGCCUUAGCUUGACCUUUAAAAAUAGCUUCGUCUUCUUUUAUUCUAUUUAUCAAUGAAUGUAAUAUUUUAUCUUUUUCGAGACCUUCGUUCCUCAGUUCAAUUACUUCGGAACGAAGGUUGCUCAGGGCUAUAGCGCACCCUUCGUCUUCGGCAUCUUUUUGGGCCCUGAGGGCAUUGCUAAGUAUAAGGCCCUGCAAAGAAAAAUGUGUGUGCGUCAAUAGAUUUAAGCAAACAAAAAAUUUUGGUCUCAACAAAAAAUACAAAGAUCUCAUUUUUGCACCUUUAAGCUAUUGUAUGCCAGGUUGUCGGCCAGUUCGUUUUUCGACAACACCGAGAGCCCGUCUUCUAGUGUUGGGAAUCCGAAGCUCUUGCUCAUCUCCCGACAGACAGAAAUCUCCUUGCUGUCAGGGAGACAAUACAAAAAGUCUUCUUCUCCACUGCCGUUGAAUAUUAAUGCCCCCUUUGGAUACUUCAGUUUUUGGGCGUAGAGCUGGGCCUCUUGCUUCUCUUUUUCUGAUAAUUUUUUCCCCGAAGCAUGAUGAACAAUAUAAUCAAGGACUUUGGGGGAUGCUUCGGGGGCAACAGCACUGAUUUCUUCAACAAGAAUUGGCUCCGUUAUUUUUUCUUCCUCGGUUUCCAAGGAUUUUACCUUUGUAGGUUCUGAGGGCCCAGCUUCAGCUUCAGUUUCUUGCUCUGGAGCCUUAGUAUCAGAAAUUUCAGUUUUUGCUUCGGAAAUUGCAACAGUCUUCUUCGGAGUUGUGCUUGAGGACUUAAUUGUUUCCAAAACAUCUAACACAUUGACCAUUCUCUUUCUUUUCGGAGUCACCGCUGGCCCCUUUUGAUUUUUUAUUGUCUCAACAUUUGCUGAAGGACUUAAAGCUUCUGAUAUUUUUGAUCCCUCGGUUGAUCCCUUUACUUCUUCCAUUUUUUCUGUCGAUGGCACUUCGUCCAUCUCUUUGGUUUCUGGUAACAAAAUCUCUGGUUCUUCCAAUUCUAUUCUUGUUGGCGCUUCGGCCAUUUCUGCGACUCCUGGCAGCAAGGUUGGCUUGGUUGGCUUUUCAGCUUCGGUGGCCGAAGAGGUUUCUCCGGUGAACUCAGGCACCGAGGCUGGUUCAAUAUACCGUGGCCGAUGUGUGAGGACCUUUAUCCUUUUUCUUUUCGGUGCUGGCUCACUAGGAGCAGUUGCAGCUUCUUCUUUCGCAGAGGUUGUGCUUUUUCUUUUCUGCCCUCGAAUGGGAUAACGAUAGUCAGGAUAGACGAACCCGAUUGCGUCAAACACCCGGUUCAGUCUUUUCUUUUUUCAGCCUCCGAAGGCUGCUGACAGUGCAGUAUCUUCGGCCUUCGAGUAAGCCCCAAGCAGUUCAUCACUUAAAUUUUCAAUGCUUUUUAGCCAGUCAUCAUCUGGCUCAACGAAUUUAUCUCCGAACUUGAAAGUAUACUUCAGCCUGAUAAGUCCACCUUCGUCAGCCUCCUUUAUGGUUUCUUGCGGCAUUUCCCAUUUUUCCGCGAGUGGCCAUACUCUGAAGGCAAUAUGCUCUUGUACCAAAUCUCUCGUUCCAAUAAAAGAACAAAUAACACCGAAGGCUCUCUGGCAUGCUUCGGUAGCUUCAUUCAUUUCAACCUUCGGCCUCCGCAGGCCGAAGCUUUGCCAAAUAGGGCGCAUAAUUAUACCUUUGAUAUCUUCCCGUACUGUCAGGUCAUUCUUCACAUAAAACCAUUCUGUCAUCCAGUCGCCGGGCCAUCUCUUCCGAAAGGUUGGCACGGGACAGCUUGACCCAGACUGAGAAACAAAACUAUAGCAGCCAAAAUUAUUGUGAUACUGUUCCUUACCCCAAGGUUUUGUCUCGUAUGAUAAUUCGUGUAUAUUGCAGAAACUUUUCGCAUCAGGCUCCAGACCUUGGCUUCUCACGGCCCACACGAAGAUAUUCAGCCUUAUGAUUGCUUCGGGGGUAAGUUGGUGAAGAUAUACUUCGAAUAUUUUUAGCACCUCUACGACAAAGUUGCUCAGGGGAAAUCUAAGUCCAGCUUUCAAAAAGCUUCGGUACACUACGACUUCAUUUUCUUCAGGGUUCGGACAAGUCUUUUCUCCUUCGUCGGCCCUAACAACGGACAAGUCCCAGAAAUACCUUCCUCUCAUGUUGACAAGAUGAUUUUCUUUGAUACUUGAUUUGCCGAAAACCGCAUGGCUUGGUCGCCAAGGGCGAUCUUCGGAGUCUUCACCACCACUAUCCACAUCAUAACUGUCGCUGUCAUCAGUAUCUUCAGACAAACCUUCUAAAAUCUCUUUGGUGAUUUUUUCUGUAUUGGUCUUCGACAUUGCUAUAAGAAACCCCAGAUUCUUCUCUUCAUCGAGACUCAGCUUCAUCUCGGCAGCAGCCUUCUUAUCUUCAGACAUCUUCGGAAACACUAAAAACUGUUUUUAAUGCCGAAGCUUCAAAACUUAAAAAGCUAAGAAAAUCUUGGUGCGCAAGAGCUAAAAAUUGAGUGAGCAGGAGCAGAUGGCAAGAGAGCGUGCCAAAUGAGCUUGCGGUAUGAUCUUAUUUAUACGCCCAGUGCGUUGAAAAUUGAAAGACCCCGCCUGUCAGUGAAUGUUGCUAUUCUAGCAAAAGGAAGGUGUUUUUUCAGACCUUCGGCUUAAAGCCUUCGUCCAUGUCGCAAUCUAAAUUUAUUAUUUUAAACAAAUUAAUAUUGCGAGUGGCUACUGUUGGGGGCCUUCGGCUUACGAAGGUCCUCAAAAACAGGAUUUAACAGUAUUUCUGGAGUAUAAUGUGUGAACAGGUAUCUUCGGACUCGAGUCGGUAUCACAGUAGGAGAAGCCCAAAAUAAUACGAAAGUUGAUACAGCGCCGAAGAUGUGAGCGGGAAAGCUUCGGCGUGAUAGCAGAAAAUGAAACCGACUUAAAGAUGAAAAGGCUAUUCAGACCUCGGUGGAUUACUAUAGAAUUAUUACCAAAUGUAAAGGGCAUGAAUGUAAUUUUGUAUGGGCUGUGUCCCGUGUCUAUAAAUAGGUGAACAGUACCCCCGUACUGUUCACGCUGAUUUGGCAUUUGCUUUUGCGUCACACCUGUACUUUCAUCUCCUUCCAAGCUGAAGGUACAUUUGUAAUUCGAUGUCAUUUCUGUUUCUUCAUAAUAAUAAUGCAAAAAUAAGUUGAUAAUAAUAUAUAAUUGUCUAUGUUAUCCUUCAUAUUCCUUAUGAUUCAUUCUUCGUCAUCGUAUGCUGUGUUUAUGAAGGUACGUCCUUCAUAACCUUCGUCCGAAAAUCAUUUAUCCUAAGGGAAAUAAUGCUUCGAAGGACGAAGGACUUUAUCGAUUAACAUUUUUUGUGUUGCCUUGUUCUUAACUCAUAGCAUUUGAGAACAAGUCCCCAACACUCCUCUUCACUUCCAAGCUUUGAGCCACUUCUUCAACCACUUGAGCCCGAAAGUUUCUUACUCCCCACACAUUUCAAACCUAGAUUUGCUAAAAUCCGACCAUUAGACUUUGUUCAAAUUUUUGAGGAAUCCUUCCUCAAAAAUUUCUCCUUCAUCCUCCGAAGCUUGGUGCAUACCUCUUUGGCAGAUCUCCAGUUCAAGAUGGUGCGUCGUAUGAACCCAUCUAUGGUGGAGUUCAUCAGUGAUUCCGAUGAGAUUCAGGAGGAAUCUCCGAUUCCUUCUCCUCCGCCUCGUGGUUCCCUCUCCAAGAAGAACCGAGGCUUUGGUCGGGUUGAGGGGGAGGGAUCUUCCAUGCCCUCUCAACCCACUCAUGGGGGACGUCAAAAGGUUGGCUCCUCUCGCUCUUGCUGCAGCAGCUCCUCAGCAGGAUACUUCCCCUGCCAAGAGGAAGAUGGGGCAUUUGACGAUGAGGUUGACCCUCCUUCGUCCGAUGCUCCUUUCGUCACCGGUCUCUGCAUUUAUCCGGCGACCGUGUCCUGGGCCCUCGUCAACCUUUGACUGACUUCACAUCGAAGGGAGUGGAUUCCCUUCAAAAAAUAAGGUUCACAAACCCCACUCUUAGCCCCAGACAUUCUGGUGUCCAGAACCUUCGGUUCUAAAACCUUUUCCAUGCUGAUUUUUACAACUCCGUCAUCAUAUCCAAAAAGCACCCAGUCAUCCGCCGUCGGGUCAUUGACUAGGAGGGUUGUUAGGGUAUGGGUGAUGCUGACAUGACAUCAACCCUCCUUAACUGUGAGAGAAAGGGGUUAAAGAAUAUAAUGACUUUAGAAUACCCCUAGAACGACGAAGUUGUGGCCCAAUUCUAUGCCACUCUCUAGUUGUAGAGAGUAGAUGAAGAAGCUGAUGGGUAUGAUUACACAGUUAUGUACUUCUUUAUCCAGAUAAUUUGGCAUAAAGUAAGAUAUCGUCGUUUUGCCCAUAUCUUGGGCUUCUCUGAUGAGGACAUUUAGGGCAGCAACCUAAAAGUCCAUGACAUUAGGAUGCCGAUGCGGGAGGAACAAAAAUUUGUUCACAUUUCUAAGAAUUGAAAGUUUUGGGUGACCUCAAACAUGCAUAUGUACUAUAGGUACCUUAACUCUUUGUCUAGGAUGACCGUUCUUCCAAAGGGUGGGAAUCAAAUGAACGUCCUUGGGGAGAGUCAGAUUCUCCUUCUUCUCCUUGCUCCCAAUAGCCUUUCCUGCAUCAACGUAUUUGACAUGAUCUGGGAAGAGAUCCUUCGUGCUUCCUGGUCUCCUCUCAAGGGGUGUCUCCAUGCACCCUUUAUCAUGAAGAUGAUCGAAGUAGUCACCCAGACUUGCUUCGAGAAGUCGGUCAAACAUUCCCGCUACGUGCCGUACUAGGUUGACUCCAACAACCCAUCUGCAUGUACCAAGCGGGCUCCCGCAGGGUCUGGAGGCCCUGUGUUGGGGACUUGUUCUCAAAUGCUAUGAAUUAAGAACAAGGCAACACAAAAUGUUAAAUGUUACUAUCCUUCGUCCUUCGAAGCAUUAUUUCCCUAAGGGUAUAAUGAUUUUCGGACGAAGGUUACGAAGGACAUACCUUCAUCAGCAUAAAAUAUAAUAAUGAAGAAGGAAUCAUAUGAAACGUAUAAGAUAACAUAAACGAUUAUGUACUAUUGACAACUCAUUUCUAUUUUAUCAUGAUAGAAAAAUGGAAAUGAUAUUAAAUUACAAAUGUACCUUCAUAUUGUGAGAAGGUAAAAGUACAAGUGUGACGCAAAAGCCAAUACUAAAUCAGCGUGAACAGUACGGGGAUACUGUUCACCUAUUUAUAGGCACGGGUCGCAGCCCAUGCAAAAUUACAUUAAUGCCCUUUACGUUUAUCAAUAACUCUAUGAUAAUUCUUCGAGGUCUGAUCUGGUUUUUCAUCUUUAAGUCGGUUUCCUUUUCCGCCGUUCUCCCGAAGCUCUUCUACACACAGCUUCGGCUCUGCGCCAACCUUCGUGUUCCUUGUGCUUCUUCAUACUGUGGCUCUGAUCCAAGUCCGAAGAUACCUGUUAAUGUACUUUACUCUAAAAACAUUGUUAAAUCAUGUUUUUGAGGACCUUCGGAAGCCGAAGGCCCCCAACAGUAGCCCCUCGCAAUAUUAAUUUGUUAGAAUAAUAAAUUCAGAUUGCGAAAUGGACGAAGGCUAUGAGCCGAAGGUCCGAAAAAACACCUUCCUCUUGCUAGAAUAGCAACAGUCAUUGGCAAAUGGGACCCUCCAGUCUCCGACAUAAUGGGUUUAUAAAUAGGGGCUCGCCACAAAUUAUUUGGCACGCUCUCCUGCCAUCUGUUUUACCUGCUCAAAAAGCUUUCUGCCCACAAAUAUUUGGUUUUCUCCUUAGUUUUAAGCUUCGGAAACAAGAGGCAAGAAUUCCGAAGAGAUGUCUGAGGAGAAGAAGGUUGUUGCCGAAACGAAGCUGAGCCUUUCUGAAGAGAUGCAUCUGGGUUUUCUUGAGUCAAUAGCGAAGACGAACACGGAGAAGAUUACAAGGGAGAUUUUAGAAGGUUUAUCCGAAGAUACUGGUGAUAGUGACAGUUAUGACGCAGAUAGUGGGGGUGAAGAUUCCGAAGAUCGGCCAUGGCGACCAAGCCAUUCAGUCUUCGGGAAAUCAACUAUCGGGCAAAGUCACCUUGAAAACAUGAGGGGGAGAUAUUUUUGGGAUAUGUCUAUUGUAAGAGCAGAUGCCGGAGAAAAAACUUUGCCGACUCCCGGAGAUGAUGAAGUCGUUAUCUUCCGAAGCUUUUUGAAAGCUGGGCUACGAUUCCCUAUAAGCAGAUUUGUGGUGGAAGUUUUGAAAAUAUAUCAAGUUUACCUUCAUCAACUUACCCCUGAAGCAAUAAUAAGAAUGGGAAUCUUCGUCUGGGCUGUGAAGAGUCAGGGCCUAGAGCCAAGUGCAAAAAGUUUUUGCAAUAUUCAUGAGUUGUUAUACGAAACGAAACCCUGGGGUAAAGAGCAAUAUCAUAACAACUUUGGUUGCUACAGCUUCGGCGCUCGAUCUGGGUCAAGCUGCCCCGUGCCCACCUUUCGUAAGAGAUGGCCCGGAGAAUGGAUGAAAGAAUGGUUCUAUGUAAAAAAUGACUUGAAGGUUCGAGAGGAUAUUAAGGAUGUCAUCAUGUGCCCCAUCUGGCAGUGCUUCGGACUCCGGAAACCGAAGGUAGAAAUGGAUGAAGCAGCCGAAGAAUGCCAACGGGCCUUCGGCGUAGUCUGCUCCUUUAUUGGGACAAGGGAUUUGAUACAAGAACACAUUGCCUUCAGAGUAUGGCCUCUUGCAGAUAAUUGGGAAAUGCCGAAAGAAACUGUUAAAGAAACUGACGAAGGUGGGCUAGUCAGGCUGAAGUAUACAUUCAAGUAUGGAGACAAAUUCGUUGAACCAGAUGAUGAUUGGUUAAAGAGCAUUGAAACUGUAAGUGAUGAAUUGCUUGGGGCAUAUUCGAAGGCCGAAGAUACUGCAAUGUCAGCAGCCUUCGGAGGCCGAAGAAAGAAAAGACUGAACCGAGUUUUUGAUGCAAUUGGGUUCGUGUACCCCGACUACCAUUAUCCGGUACGGGGGCAGAAAAGGAAAGGUAUGGUUUCUGCGAAAGAAACUGCUUUAGCUGCUCCUAGCGAGCCAGCGCCGAAGAGAAAAAGGGUGAAAGUUCUCACACACCGUCCACGUUACAUUGAACUAGCCACAGUGCCUGAAUUCGGCAGUGAAACAUCUUCGGCCCCCGAAGCUAAGGAAUCAACUCCGCCGCCAGGAGCCAAAGAGCUGGCCGAAGUGCCAACAACAAAAGAAUUGGAGGAACCAAAGACUCUGUUACCAGAAACUAAAGAGCCGGCCGAAGCGCCAUCGACAGGAAAGAUGGAAGAAGCAAAAGCAUCAAUUGAGGGAGCGAAAAUAUCAGAAAUUUUAAGUCCUCCAGAAGAAAUUAAGGCAGCAAAAAUUAAAAAGGGGCCAACAGUGACCCCAAAAAGAAAAAGAAUGGUUAAUGUGUUAGAUGUUUUGGAAAUAAUUAAACUUCCAAGCGCAACCCCAAAGAAGACUGCUGAAACUUCUGAGGCGCUUGCUGAAGUAUCCGUUGCUGAAGCUCCGAAGCAGCAGACUGGAGUUGAAACCGGGCCUUCAGAACCGGCCAAGAUAAUACCUUUGAAAGCAGAAGAAGCAAAAAUUGCAGAGGCAACCAAAGAAAUAAAAGUACCAGAACCAAUUUUGGUUGAAGAAACUAACACUGGUGCCCCCGAAGCACCUUCCAAAAUGUACGAUUAUAUUGUACGGCAUGCUUCGGGGAAAAAAUUGUCCGAAGAAGAAAUCUUUGAAGCUAAUCACUAUGCCAGAGAAUUGAAAUAUCCGAAGGGGGCAUUAGUGUUCAAUGGGACAAACGAAGAUGACUUCCUAUACUGCCUCCCAGACAACAAAGAAUUAUUAGUUUGUCGGGAAAUGUCUAGGAGUAUGGGGUUUCCGAAGCUUGAGGCUGGAUUAUGCGCUAUGACGAAGGAGGAUCUUGCGGAUAGUCUUGUGUACAAUAGCCUGAAGGUAUGGGAAUUGGAUGUUUACAAAUUUUAUAAUUCGUAACUCAUUCUUUUAUUCUUAUACCAACCUUUUUUACAUAUAGGGUUUAAUUUUAAGCAACGCAUUGAGAGCACAAAAGAGUGCCGAAGAUGAGAGCUAUGAAAUUGCAUUCAACAACCUACAUUCAGAAGUUAUUAAACUGAGAAAUGAAGCUCUGGAAAAGGAUAAAAUUCUGCUUACAUUGGUGGACAAGGUAAAAAGGACGAAGCUACCUCAAAGGCCCAGGCCGAAGCCCAAAGACGUGAAAUUAAAGAUCUUCAGAAACAGCUAGCUAGAGCUAAAGAAGAGCGUAUACUUGAAGAAACAAAACACGAGCUUAGUGAUCAACUGGCCAAUCAUUUAGAGAUGAGUGUUAAAGAGCUUCGUGCGUCCCAGAGGAAAUGCUAUGUUAAAUCCAUAUAAUGCGUCAAAAAGAUAAAAUCCAGCUUCGCCAGCGUUGGCGCAUUCUCUAGUGAAGAGAAUUUCUCAAGAGGCGAUCCCGAAGGUCCAAUGGAAUGGAUCAGUCACGAAGCAGAGGCCUUCGAGGAAAUCCUGAAUAGCCGCGGUGACAUCUGCGCUUUUUCGGGUGCUAGAGGAGUUGCUACUGUUUUGGAGAGGAGAGGUUGUGAGCAUGUAAAAUCCUUAGCUCAGUCCGAAGCUGCCUUGUCCUCCGAAGACAUCAAAGACCCCUCGGCCGAAGCAAGCAUGGUUGGCGGAAAAUUCUUUACUGAUAUCUGGGACAACGGCGGCCGAGAAAUGGCGCAAGAAAUUAUUCAAAAGAGUGAAAAAGGCAUCCAUGAUGCUAGGAAAGUGACAGAAGUUGCCGAAAGAAUUAGAGAGCCCGAAGGGCAAAUAGGUAUUAAUUAGUCGUUCUUAUUGUGUUGUAAUUUUUUAAUUCCAGACUUUGUUCGCGGUUUGUAAUAGUAAUGUAGUCGUAUCUUCUCUUCCCUCAGAACCUGCCGAGGCAUCUCCGGGCCCCCACCCAGAGGGGGACGAUGAGAUUAGAAAAAUGGCCGAAGCCAUUAUGGACAAGGUUGUUGACCAGCUACUGAACGAAGCUGCAGAGAUAGUUCUCAAGGAGAAUUAAAUCCUUAUUGUAGAAACAUUUGGAACAUAACAUGUGUAAUAUAUUGUAACUUUGAAUGUAAUAUAUAGUCUAUUUAUAAUUUAAUUCUUUACGAUGCAUGAAACUUUGCAUACAUACCAUUUUUUGAGCCUUCGGCGAAAAAACACCUUCCCUUUUUUUCAUGCUUCGUGAAGAAAACCUUUUCUAUAUCACAAGAAUUUGUUUACUUCUCUGAUAAAAACGUCCAAGCUUCGUGAACUAUUCUCCGAAGCCAUAAAAAAGUUUUGUGUUGCCUCUCCAAUGAGGCUACUCUUCAUCUCGAUUCGUCUUGUGCCUUAGCACGAUUUUCUCUUUUCCAAAAUAUGUUCCGAAGAUUAACACUGUAUCCCCUUCUUGUUCCAGAUGCAGUAUGCUGUAUGAUGCUUAUGUUAUGCAAAAAUGAUGUGAUGAUGUUAUGUUAUGCAAAAUUAUUUUUGUGUCGCAGAUACAUAUCCCUGUAAUAAAGCACACACACUUUUUAUAUCAGCGCUGACUUUUCGCUGUAAGCCUCCCUUAGGAGCUUCUUCGCCUUUUACUUUCAGCGGAAUCAGCGUUUAUUUUUCGCUGUAAGCCUCCCUUAGGAGCUUCUUCGCCUUUUACUUUCAGCGGAAUCAGUGUUUAUUUUUCGCUGUAGGUUUAGAAAACUUACACUGCGCUCCCUUAGGAACGACUUUUUACUGUUUCGAACAAUUUGUACUGUGUCCGUUAGAUCAAAUUUUUUAUAAUUCAAAGGUCCUCCAAAUCAGUAUAAGUUCGUAUGCUUCGGCAACUCAAGCCUAUGGAAAAAACAUAUUUUUAUUAUGGUAAAAGACGAAAGUAUUACAAGGAAUUGAAAUUCAAUAAAAGACAUUUAGACUCUUCAUAAUUGUCUCUUAUUGACAAAAGGGUAAUAGCGAAUGUAGAAAAUGCAAAAGAACUGCUGUUGAGGUAGGAUAUUUGUCAAUAAAUGUGCUUCGACUCUAGCACAGUGCUGUUGACUGUGCGAGCUUCGGACUCCUCUCUGAAAUCCCUCUGAAGAUGAUUGUGUUGAUUCCCUUCUGGCUGUUGUCCUCGCUGGGUCGGCGGUGGCGGUGGAGGUUGCUGCCAAGAUGCUUGGGGUUGGCUCGCCGAAGCAACAGAAGUUGCAGGGUGGUUGCCUACAUAUUCUGGAAUAUAAGGUGAGUGAUACGAAGCAGUAUGCAUGACCUGCUUCGGCUGACUCUGUUGCGCUGCUGCUUCCGCUAUUUCCUUCUGCUUCUGGAUGGUAACAUGGCACAUCCUGGUAGUAUGGCCCUUGUCUUCACCACAGAAUAGGCAAUAUAUUUUUCUUGGCUGGUCUCCAAACCUUCCCCCGAAGCCCCUGGCGCCUCUGCCCCUUGGCGCUGGCGGCCGAAAAGAACUCUGCUGUUGGGCCGAAGCUUGUGACGAGUGCUGUGGCCUUUGCUGCUGGCUCCCUCGAUCAUCAGUUUGAGCAGAGUUAUGGAUUGACCUAACAUGCCUCGGGUGAAAUCUUCCUCCGAAGCCCCUGGUCAUUUCAGAGAACCUGAAUGCUUCCUCCCUUCUUUGGCGGAAGUCAUUGACAGCUCGAAUGUAUUCGUCCAUCUUCUGGAGCAGCUUCUCCAACAUUUGUGGUGGCUUCCUGGCAAAGUACUGCGCUGAUGGUCCUGGCCGAAGCCCCUUAAUCAUGGCCUCAAUGACAAUUUCAUUGGGCACUGUUGGCGCUUGUGCCCUCAGGCGCAGAAACCUCCGGACAUACGCCUGAAGGUACUCUUCAUGGUCCUGGGUACACUGGAAGAGAGCCUGAGCGGUGACUGGCUUCGUCUGAAACCCUUGGAAGCUAGUUAUCAGCAUAUCCUUCAAUUUCUGCCAAGAAGUGAUUGUCCCUGGCCGUAGAGAAGAGUACCAAGUCUGAGCAACGCUCCUGACGGCCAUGACAAAAGAUUUUGCCAUGACUGCUGUAUUGCCACCAUACGAAGAUAUGGUUGCUUCAUAGCUCAUUAGGAAUUGCUUCGGGUGUGUGUGACCGUCAUACAUGGGGAGCUGGGUGGCUUGUAAGACUGUGGCCAUGGUGUAGCCUGCAAUUCUGUUGAGAGAGGAGAAGCAUCAUCAAAAGCAAAGUUUCCAUGAUGGAAAUCUUCAUACCAGUCAUCCUCAUUGUGGAAGCCUUCCUGAUGAAACUCUCUGCGUGGAGGCCUUCGGCUUUGAUCAUCUUGAACAAGAUGACGAACCUCCUCAGAAGCUUCGUCUAUCUGUCUCUGAAGAUCAGCUAGACGAGCCAUCUUCUCCUUCUUGCGCUGCACCUAUUGCUGAAGGAUCUCCAGGUUUUGGAUCUCCUGAUCCAGGUCAUCCUCCGGAGGUGUUGGACUAACAGCCUUCCUGUUCUGGCUUCGGGCCUCUCUAAGAGAAAGGACAUCCUGAUUGGGAUCCAGCGGCUGUAAAGUACCAGCCCCUGUCGCUGAAGCUUUUUUCGGCGGCAUGACGAAGGUGAUGCUUGCCGAAGGUGUUCAAAACUCAAGAAAUGGAAGUGAGUUCACCGGAGGUGGGCGCCAAUGUUGGGGACUUGUUCUCAAAUGCUAUGAAUUAAGAACAAGGCAACACAAAAUGUUAAAUGUUACUAUCCUUCGUCCUUCGAAGCAUUAUUUCCCUAAGGGUAUAAUGAUUUUCGGACGAAGGUUACGAAGGACAUACCUUCAUCAGCAUAAAAUAUAAUAAUGAAGAAGGAAUCAUAUGAAACGUAUAAGAUAACAUAAACGGUUAUGUACUAUUGAUAACUCAUUUCUAUUUUAUCAUGAUAGAAAAAUGGAAAUGAUAUUAAAUUACAAAUGUACCUUCAGCUCGUGAGAAGGUAAAAGUACAAGUGUGACGCAAAAGCCAAUACUAAAUCAGCGUGAACAGUACGGGGAUACUGUUCACCUAUUUAUAGGCACGGGUCGCAGCCCAUGCAAAAUUACAUUAAUGCCCUUUACGUUUAUCAAUAACUCUAUGAUAAUUCUUCGAGGUCUGAUCUGGUUUUUCAUCUUUAAGUCGGUUUCCUUUUCCGUCGUUCUCCCGAAGCUCUUCUACACACAGCUUCGGCUCUGCGCCAACCUUCGUGUUCCUUGUUCUUCUUCAUACUGUGGCUCUGAUCCAAGUCCGAAGAUACCUGUUAAUGUACUUUACUCCAGAAACAUUGUUAAAUCAUGUUUUUGAGGACCUUCGGAAGCCGAAGGCCCCCAACACCCUGCUUCUUCUGAUGAGCCACCUCCUCAGCCUCCUCAUCAUGAGACCUCCUCUUGUGCUGCCGCUGCUUCACGUCUGAUGGACCACAGCGGGAGAGGUAGACGUCAGGACCGGGGACGGGGUCAAGGUCGGGGACUGUUUGUGCGUCUGGCCAAGGGCAUCGCUGGUGUCUUCACCAUGUGCCGCAGCCGGACUGAGGCGCCGUAUAAAGCCCAAAAAUUUGGAUCGGGAAAAAUAAUGAUAUAAAUAAAUAACUAUAAUUAUGUUAGAAUUUUGGGCACUUUUGAAAACUUUUUAAGAUUUAUUAGUCCCUUUUUUUAUAAUCAGAUAAUGGCAUUAAAAUAGUCAUAUAACCAAUAAAUUAAUAAGGAAAUGGACAUCCCAUACUUAUAAAUUUGUGGUGGUACAUUUUAUUGAAAUAAGGAAUCAUAAUUAAAAUUUGACCUCAACUUAUAAAUGAAAAUAUAAAACGGAAAAUGAGAAAGGAAAUCUUAAUAAAGUCAUUUAUUACUUCCAUAAUUAAAUAAUAAGGAGAAAAAUAAAUAAUAAUAAAAAUAGGAUUUACCUUUACAUUAGGUUUAUAUUUGAGAGUUGAAAUCAAAAAAUUUAGACAUGGAUUUGAAUUUGAUUUGGAUAUUUGAAAUUUUAAAUAGAAAAGAUAAAAGAAUAAAAAAGAAAAAGAUUAGCAUAAUUCAUACCUCGCGCUGGGCCGUUUUCCACUGGCCGGCCCACUUCACCCGAAUCGAGCGGCCCACUUACAUCUAUGUGUGGGCCCACCCCACGACCUUAGCUGCGUUCGAGCAUGUGAACUCUUGCCUGGGUCGCUGUGUUGUUGUCCCCGCCAGUCAGGUGAAUCACCUCACGCGCGCUCACUGUCGUGUGGACCCAAGCCAUCACCUUCCCCCUCACGCCGUGAUCGCUCGCUGCCACCAUGGGGCCAACUCGUCUGCCCUCGGGCGCGUCCGUGCCUCGCGUUAUGUCUCUGACUCGCGGGGCCAGACCAUCAAGAUUGACCUCCCAUGCGAUCCACGGGUGACUCGGGUCACCACAACGUGGGCCCGGUUCGUCAGCUACCUUAUCCGCCCAAUCUCCAUCGAUGUCGGCUUGCGGGUGGUGAUGGAGUAGUCGGGCUCCGCUGAUCUCGCACGGGCGACAACAAACUCCCCUCGUGCCUAUUGAAAGUUCUCUAUGCCCGGGAACAGGAUCUGAAUGUUGCCUAUAGGGAGGUGAACAGGCGAAUAAUAAUUAUCACUUUAUAAUUGGAAAUUCUUACUCUACUCGAAGGCUGGAUCGCAGUGGAAUGAAAGACCCUUCGAGUAGGUUGCAGCGGAAUUGAAGUUCCUAUCUUAAAAUACCCUGCACUUCGAAGACAUCUUGUACCACAUAUAAAUAUUGAAGUGAAAGUAUAAAAAGCAAAUAUGACAGAUAAACAGCACACGUCACAAAGCAGAGCACACAGACACAGGGAUUUAUCCCGAGGUUCGGCCAAGCCUGAAAUGCUUGCCUAGUCCUCGUUGGAGUUAGCCACACCUUGGCUUGGAGUCUAUUUCAACUCCUUCCUCCAUUUGCUCAGAUCUGUCAGUGCGACAGAUAGAGCCUUCCACUAUGUUGAUAUCAAUUACAACGAUGUCGUGGCUACUUACAAUCUUCUCGACAGCACUCCGGCAGAGUAACAAUGCGCCCAAGAUUUUGCUCUAGCUCUCAGCAGCACUUCCCUUCUCUCUAACAGCUUAUAACUUCGCCUCUACACAAACUAGAGAGAUACACAAGAGAGGGAGAGAGAAUUGAUCCAAAUGAUGUAUGGACUUGUUGGCUGCUCUUGUCUACUUGUUCGAGGCGCCUAGGGGUCCCUUUUAUAGUCCCAAAGGGCCUAGGAGCCGUUGGAGCUUCAUUUGGAAGCUGGAUGCACCGGACUGUCUGGUGCGCCACCGGAUAGUGCACAAUAACGGAUCUGAAUGACAGUUUCCUUCUCUCGAAGAGCUAGCCAUUGGUGCACCGGACAUGUUACUAUUCAUUGUCCUAUGCAUCGGACAUGUUACUAUUCACUGUCUUCUGCACCGGACAGGUAACUAUUCACUGUCUUGUGCACCAGACAAAGUAACUAUUCAUUGUCAUGUGCACUGGACAAAGUAACUAUUCACUGUCUUGUGCACCGGACAUGUUACUAUUCACUGUCCUGUGCACCGGACAUGUUACUAUUCACUGUCCUGUGCACCGGACAUGUUACUAUUCACUAUCCUGUGCACGAGCCAACAGCACACUAAGUGCUUUUUCCUCCAUUCUUUCUCUGUUUGACUUCAACUUUUGGGAGGAUUUUCCUUAGACUUAAACAAACACAUUUAGUUGACUUAGUCCUAGAAACUUACCUCUUUCUUGUUCUUCUCCUAGCUUUUCUGAUUCUCCUCACGAAGAGCUCAGAAUGGCACUUUCUCUACAGAAAGAGUUAGAGGGCAAACCAAAGCACCAAACUUGUAGUAAGAGGUGUAUGCAACAUGGUUGAACACUCUAACCUUACAUACUUAACCUUUUUCAUCGUUUUACCCAAUUUGGCAUGUUUGAGGUUGAUGUUGGACUCUAAACCAUCAAGUCAACUUGACUUGAUCUAGAUUGUGAGCUCCAACUCUCUUGUUCACUUCUCGAGCUUGAUCUUGAGCCUUAUGACUUACACCACAUAACUAUAGAUGUUACCUCAUUGGUUGUAAGUCAUGUCCUUAUGUAGUGAUCCUUGAUGCACCAUAACUCUUCUUAACUCGAUCAACCUUGACUUUGCAAGUCUUCUUCUUCACCCCUGGCUUUGGGUUCCUGGUCUCCUUGACCUUCUCCCGUGCACUCGGUACCUCGAAGCUCUUCUUGCCUCCAUCCUUGGCUUGAUCGGUUGUCUCUGAGUUACGCACAUCGAGUCUCACUUAAGCAAUGUCCAUCUUACUUGUGAUGUCCAUUAUCUAUAUAUAAUCCAGUCUUUGGACCAUCACACUUGUUCACUUGUGUUGAACCCUGUUAGCUUUGCAUUAAGCACCUGUUCAACACUUAGCACACUUGUUAGUCCUAUAAUUGGGUUGUCAUCCAAACCACCAAAACCCACAAGAGAGCUUUGAAUCUCUCACUUUUUGGUGAUUGAUGGUAACACAAUUAAAGCCUACACAAGAAUAAGAUUUGUAACACCUCAGGUGUUACCAUGGCUAGAGCACACCUUGGUACUAAGGACUGUGAUCACAUGUGGUAGAAAACUUGAGAAGAACAUAAGAACCUUGGAGACCAUGUGUUAAUCAAGAUUGUUAAUGACCUAAGAGCAUCACUCAAGCUUUUGUGCACUCACUACCUUGAGCAAGAGGAGGGAAAACCCUAGACCUCUCUUGAACCCCAUCUUCCAAAGCCAUGGUUGAGAGGGGGAGAGAAUAAACAAUUGUGCAAACCAUGAGUUAAUCUUUAACCAAACUUUAAGUAACUUUAUAACCAGCAAUUGUGGGAAGGAAAUGUUGCAAAAAGACCCCUGGAGAAACCCCAAAUCCAUUCCCUAAGUGGAGAGAGAGCUAGAGCUCUCUAAUUCUCUCUAAGUCAAAAACUACACCUACACUAAAGAUCAACCGUGUUCACCUCGAAGAUGGCAUCAAAACCACCUAUGUUCUAUACCAAAAAUAUGGCAUACCACCUAGGGCACCCACUGGAAAAAGUUGAGCCCGAGACCGUGACGUUUGACAUGCCUUGGCAUGGUUUUUGUCGCGAGGUGGGCAGAGAGACAUACCUGAUUUGGCGACCAAAGAUCUCCCUACCUAGGCCAUAUCUGCCAUGGCGACUCACGGAUGAGAGACAGCCCUAGGUGCCAGGAAAAGACUCGCGCCGGAUUUUUGCCAAGAUUGGCACAUUUGCGACUUGGGCGAGCUGUGGAACACGGGCAGAAGAGAAGCUCCACGUGUUCGACGCACUCUGUGCACGCCAGAGCACGCCCGCGCGUGCCCCGCGUCGCGCCCAAGGCCAGCCGACGCCAUGACCCAUGCCCGCGCCUAUAAAGCCCAUUCAGGCAUCGACCACACCCUUCCGCACACGCUCAAACCUCACCGGAGCUUAACUCACCGUCGUUUGCCCGUUCACGGCGUGUCCGCGGCCACCCGAGCCCCUGCCGCCGUAGACCGGCCAGCCCAGCCUUUCCCAACCCCGUCCGACCCUCGGAGACGACUGAGCACACCUCAGUGAAGCUCCCCGAGCGAGGAAUCGAAGUCUGCUUCGCCGGAGAGGCCAGUCCAUGGUCGCCGGAGUUCACAACCCCACCGGAGUGCGUGGACCGGGUAAUCCACUGAACCAUUUUCCGAUUCCUUGUGCACACAGUCUCUACGUCACCCCAUGGAGCUCACCGUGCCAUUGGAUUGAACCAGAUCGUCGUGAUUUGGCCGGCACACCCGCCGCCGACGAAGACACCCGCCUGCGCACGUGGAUCGAGCGAUUCCGGCCAUCCCCGCCGUCGAGCCGUACAUCACUGUGAUCGCCAGAGCCUCCCCGAGCCAACCCCGCCUCUCGCCGGACCUCCCUCGCCGCCGGUAAGCCGCGCCACCCUUUUCUUUCUUGUGGGUACUGUUUAAACCUAGGGAAGGACCCCGGGGGAGAAGGAAAGAAGUCUGGGAGGUUUUGUGAAAUGUCAGAGACUGAAAUGAAUAGUAGCGCGGGGGUAUAACUGAGAGAGUUAGUUUGGAAAUAACCCAGGGUCCCCAAUGUAAACUGCUUUUCCAGAAAACCUUUAUUAAAUUUGAUUUUAAAUUUGAACAGAACUUUAAUAAUUCAUAACUUCUGUUCUAUUCAUCCAAAUUUGGUCAAACCAAUUUUGUCAGACUUUAAAUAAUGUAAACUGCUUAGGAAAAUAUAAAACUCUUAAGUACUACAGAAAACUAUAAGGUUCUAAUUUAAUCAUUGUUUUGACCAAAAGCUAAAUAAUAGUGAUAGAAAUAGUUGCCCUAUUUGACUAGGGUUAGAAAAAUUUGGAGAAGCUUAUAUCCACCUACUGACCUGUUUAAAAAUGCUAAACUUCUCUGUCCAACCCAUUAAGCCAAUUUUUGCCAAUCAUUUUACAAUAUGCUUAAGGUUAAGAAAAAUAGAAAAGAUGAUUUAAAUAAUGAACCAGAGGGCACCCCUAUUUUUGUUAGAGUACUUGUUUAAUGUAGUUCACUAGAAAAAUCUAUUAUGCCCUGGUUUAGUAUAAAAUGAGUAGGAUACCUUUUAUUUUAAUAAAACAAGGAAAACUUAGAAAAACCCUACAAAAAUAACCCCAAGGUGAAAACACCCCAACCGUUGGGAUAAUUAAUGUUUUGUUAUUAAGAACUUAGGAAAAAUAUGAAAUCUGCUAUUUGACAUUUUUCAAAUAACAAUGUAGUAGAAAGUGCCUUUUGGGCAUUAAACUUUAGAAAAUCAUAACUAAAUAACCAUCCCUUAGCUUUCUGUGGUUUUUGGCACAGAAGCCUAUUAUUACUGUUAGAUACCAACAAAAAUAACCCUUAGGGCAGAACCCAAUCCUAAUUAAGAGAUGUAGUGCAAGGUGGCCCAUUUUACACAACUUUUGCCAUGUUUGUCUAAAGCAUAGCCUUUUUAUUUUAAACCCCAAAUUCCUAGAAUAGGCUAUAAUGACCCAUGGCUGGCCACUGUAAUUUUUACAGAAUUUUUGGAAAAUAUUAAACCACUGUCGUAGUUCAAACCUACACUAGAAACCACAAAAAGAAAAUAAAGAAAGGGAAAGAUGAAUAAUAGAAAAUUAGUGUCAUCCUAAAACCCUUUAUAACUUGUCCACUGAAAUAUAUAGAGGCAAUACCAAUUCCCUGUGCCUAUCCCUAGCAAAACCUAAACCUAGAAGUGAUAAGCAUAAACCAUUAAAAGCCACGUAUGACCCAGAAACCCUAAGUUGCUCAUUAACUUAGUUUUUCUUCUCUUAGCAUAAUGUUAUUAAAUCCUGCAUAAUCAUGACAUACAUGUUCAUUGCAUUUCGAUAGACUGUAACCUUGCCGGCGGAGAGUACGUCCUCGUGCCGGAGCAAGGAGCUGCUCAGGAGGUGGCCCCAGAUCCAGUACCAGAGCCUGCACCAGAGGACCUGCCUGCCACUGCUUUGGAAGGCAAGCCCCAGUUUAUGCAUAACCUGUUAUUUAUGCUAUUUUACUACACUUAUUGAUUGUAGGAUUGAAUGUGCACUUAAGUGUAGGAGUUGUUUGAAACCCUAGUUGCAUGAUCUCAGGAAUCCCAUUGAGAUUAAUACUAGUAUGCUAAGUCGAGUAGCUGCUGUAUUAAUUAGGCUCUCGGUAGAAGUCGAGUGAUUUUUCUAGCACUCGCGCGAGGUCAGGAAAUUGGUUGUAUCCACUUUCUUCUCAUAAUGAUGCUGGUAGUGGACAACAAUCCAUGGGGAUUGGUUGUCCACGGGGUAAAAACUUGAAUAAGGAUUAAGGUGUGGUACCGUGAGUCAAGCGUUUGUAUGGUAAAUCGGUAAGCCUAGUACCUGAGUGAACCUGCCCGCAGACAUAUCCCCUCACGCGACCUGAGACGUGGUCUCCCAUUCCGGUUAUGGUGGGUACAAGUGCGGUCACUGCACGACGGCAGUCGGGGUCAGUGAGGCAUUGUACGCCAAGGCAGUGAGCCCUGAUCUGUUGCCAGGGAAUCGAUGGGGACGGUUGAUGUGUCUGGGGACGGAGUGCCCCUACAUGUCGUGUGUUUAGGUUUACCUUGCAAGGCUUUAAAAAAUUUGAUUCGAAUCGUCUGCUUCUCGCAGCUAAUGAGACGGCUUGAUCCAUGCUGCUACAUUGAGUAACAAGUGGAAUUGUGAUGAGAUGAUACAAGAUGUUGAUUGCUAAAAAUGUUUGCUACCAUGUAUGAGUAGAUAGAACAUCUUUAGCCUUAAGAGAGUCACACUUAAUUUGACAAAGUUAAAAACUUGAUUUAGAAACUCAGCUAGUGCUUUUGGCAACCAAACCCCACAGCCAAACAACUGCAUGUCUAGAGGUAGAGGAGUAGACUCCUCACACCGGGUAAGUCUAUCUGAGUAUUAGUAUACUCAGCCUUGCUUGUGGCAUUAUUUUACAGGUUCUCUGGAGGACAUGGUUGCUGGAGUGACUUGGCCAUCCAUCUUGCCACUGGGUUGGACUGUCGAGUGGGACCCUACCUCGGCUGAGGAGGAGCACGAGGAGUGAUGGGACAGGCUUCCCCAUCUCUCUGUUUAUUUACCGUUAGUUUAUUUCCGCUGCACUUCAAACAAUGAUGACUACUUUUGCAAAAACUCCGAUGGUGAUGUAAUAAUUUUAAUACUCUUACAUGCAUGGUUUUUUGCUUUAUUGUAUUUGCUCUGUGACUCACCAUCGAGUGAGAUUGUGGUACUUGAUCCUGUCAGUGGCCGUGUCGGACUAGAUCCGAGGGAUUGACGGGUUAUUCCCAUUUAUGUGUGGUCUAGCCUCUAAGGCGGGGCUUAGGCACUUAAGUUGGAAUAAUUCGAAGCAUUACUACACCUUAGCAUCCGUGGGAUGCAUUGUGUCUAUAAUUAAACCGUGAUGCGUAUAACACACAAAUGCACAGAACCAGAGUUAAACACCAAUUAAAUGGAUAUACCACAGGAAUAUCAACCUACCACUAUUCACCAUUAAGAUACCAAUUUAAAGCACUAGAACCACAUGAAUAUCUAUUACAGGACAAACACAAUAGAUACCAAUUGAUUCAUAUCAUCGAAAGCACUAAUUAUGCAUUAUCACCAUAUAAUACAACAAGAAGCAUAUGACAAGUAUUAUCAACAAAACUAACACAUUCUUCCUUAAGAUCAAAGGAACUCAAGGAAACCCCUUUGAGUCCUUUAGCACAUCUUCACCCUGAAGAUAUCUUCACCCUUAAGAUAAGCUUUCCUCUCAGGUUGAGGUAAGCUUUAAUGCACAAAUUCUCCCCCUUUGACAUCAAACACCAAAACCAUAUUCAAGCAAGAACAUAGGAUGAUGUCAAGGGUCACAAGGGUAUUAAUUAGGGAAAAUGUAACACACUAACAUUACUCCCCCUUACACAUUAAACAUAUGCAACACAAGCAUUGGAGAAAAAUUAAGGUACAAAUACGCAAAAAGGUCAAUACCUCCUUUUGUACCAUUACCAUGUUAUGGUGUACUUUCCAUCUAAGUAGGCGGAGUUCCUUUUACCAUCAAUUUAAGAUUUCCAUCUUGAAAGUUUUAUCUCUAGGGAGCUCCUUCACACUUAUGCCUGAUCCUUUAUCCUGACCUUUUCUUGUUGCUAAAACACCAAACUUAGAACAAGUUAUAGUACUGUGGCAUAAGAUGAAGCUUCUAUUCUAGUGAUUACCAAAAGAUACCAAUUGAAGCACACUACCAAGGCUACUAAUUGAAAGAUCAUCACUGUCAUAGCUCCAUGAUAUUUAAAGAUAAGCAUCUAGGAUCACCAACUAUUAUAGAGCACGAGCAAUCUUUAAAUACGCAAUUACUCACAACUUUAGAUACCAAAUACUCGACUUGUGGAGGUACCCAAGUCCUGAUUGCUCCAUUUCUUGCUCAUCUUCCCUUUUCCACCUUGAGACUAUAUAGGAUCACUCAAGAAAUAGUUAGUCUCAAAAGACACAAGUUAUGUGUGCUCCCCCUAAAGUUGUGCAUCAAGUAUUUGAAUGACUUGCACCUUGCACAUUCUAGCGUCCUCAGAACUAGAGGGGAUCACAACAUACCUUGGUCUAGGCAUAAUAUAUCAAUUGCAUCACAAAAGAUACCAAUUGAAUAGAUGACAUAAUACAACUUAUGACUAGUGGAAACAAUGCAUGCCUCAAGAUAUAUAACAUUUUAAAAGCAACCUAGGCACGCUUCACACAUGAUGAUCAUUGCAACACAUAUACCAAUUGGAAAACAACAAGAUCAUGCAUAUAAAGCACAAUGUCUAAGCACACCAUGAUUAAGAAGUAUUUUCUUAGGUACACCAAAGGAAACAUCAUUUAAAGCAUAAAGCACCUAAGCCAAGAUACUACCAAUUGAAAGGCAAGAACAUAGCUAUGAUCACAAUCAACAGAACUUCAAGAUAUUCAAUGAAAUUGCAUAGUUUCAUUCUCCAUACCUUUUUCUUUUACCUGAAUGUCAUGAGAUUCAUUCUUUUAGGUAGUAUGGAUUGAGAGCACCUGUUGUCACCAAUUUAGGGCUCCUUUUGCUCAUGCACCUCAUAGCUUGAGAGGGUGCAUUAGAGACACACCAUGGAUUUCUUGUUUUGGUAUACACAGAGUACCAAGACAAAGUAAUCAUGUGAACAUGGACUAAACAAAACUAUCAUGCUUGCACAUAGGUUAAUCAUUAAAAACGACAUAGCAUGACUUACAAAAAGAUACAGGUUUAUCCACAUACACCAAGAGAGUUAAUCAUGGUGGAUGUAUCAAAUUAAAAGCUACCCAUUGAAUGAUUCAAGAGAUAUAACCUAUAAAGCACACAGUCACGAUUGAGCAAGCAUGAUUAUGAUCUUGGAAAUCAUGGAUCAUUAAUUGAAAGAUAUUCAACACAAGUAAUCUCAAAAGCAUAACUACUCCAAGGAUAGGUAUAGCACGACAAUCCAACUUAAAAGCAAUACUGAUUAGAAAUAAUGCAUUUAAGAUACACAGGUACCGUCCUUUGGAGAGCAAGUUGCAGAUUCUCAUCAAAGUCCUUUGCUUGAUUCACCAAUAAUGAUUAAGGACCUCUACAAAUUAUUUAACUCGAGAUGAACAUGGGAUUAGUGUUGCACAGUAAUUCAACCUUGGGUCAAUAAAUAGACCAUAAAUUUGGCAGCUUAAGCAUAGAGUUUGAAUUAACCAUCUUAAGCUCUCCCAAGAUCUCCAGUCCAUCUCGAGGCACCUGCAUGGUCUAGUUGGCACAGUUUGGUACCCAUCUCGGGAUGGGUCCAUAACGUUCAUCUAAAAGAGCCUUUGGUAGCCAAAUAGAAUUUGUGCUAGUUCUAGGUGAUCUCAUUAUUAAUCUAGCACAGGUGUAUGAUUUGGGUCUUAUUGGGGGCCUUCCUCUUCCGAAGGUCCUCAAAAAUAUGUCUAACCAUAUGUUUUCAGCAUGAUUAUGAAUAGUUAUAAGAAGCUUCGGCUUUGGGAUGAAGAACUUCUCUCAUGGCGGAAUGAAGGGAAAUAAAGAAGUGGGCAACGAAGCUAAAAGCCAAAGGACCUUCGGCCUAACAUAUUGACGAAGCUCAGAAGCAUGAUGAUAACUGGAAGGGGCUAAAGACCUUAUAGUCCUCAAUAAUUCCUAUUAGGAUUAUAGGCAGUUACUAGGGACAUAAUUGUACUUUUAUUCAGGCUGCGUCCCGUGCCUAUAAAUAGAUGAACAGUAAUACCGUGCUGUUCACGCUGGAUUGUAAUUGUAACGCCCUGAAUUUGGGGGUAGAAUUUUUUCUUUUUUCACUCACCAAAUUCGGGCGUUACUCACUUUUCUCUUCUCGUUUCGCUACUUCUUCUCAAUUUCAAACCAGUAUAGUGGCAGGUGUCCGUGUCAUGUAUAAACAAAACCUAAGUGGACGUCUCAGACAUAUGAUGUAAUCGACUAUUUCCCCCUUUUUAAUACUAUUUGAGCACUGUGUGAUGAUGUCCAGUUAUGUAACUGCUGUGUAUGUGAAUUGCUGAUCCUGGCACGUACAUGGUUCGUAUUCGGUUUGCCUUCUAAAACCGGGUGUGACAGUAAUCACUCUCGAUCCAUUCUUGCUCUCUCAUCUUCUAACAAGCCGAAGGUAUCAUUGUAAUAUGAUUAUUGUUAAUGUUUAUUCAUGUUUAAUGAAGAUAAAUGAAUCAUAAAUACAUAAUGGAUAUUAUCUUGAUCCCUCUGUAUUCCUUCAUCUUCUUGUUUAUAUUCAUAUUCAUAUUUACAUAAUAUCAUAAAAAUGAUGAAGGUGUGUCCUUCAUGACCUUCGUCUGAAGAUAAUUAUAUCCGAGAGGAAAUAAUGUUUCGAAGGAUGAAGGUCUUUAACCAUAUCAAUUGUGUUGCCUUGUUCUUAAUUAAUAGCAUUUCAGAACAAGUGAACAACAUUUGGCGCCCACCUCCGGUGAACUCACUUCCACAACCUUCCGAAGAGCAUCCAUCUUCGACAUGCCGCCGAAGAAGGCAACGGCGCCAGGGGCUGCUCUGCAACCACUGGACACAAAUCAAGAUGCUCUCUCUCUUUACGAGAGGCCAGGAACCAAAAGAGGAAGGCCACCAGCCCAACUCUCCAGGAGGAGCAAAUUGAUUAGGAAAUCAAGGACCUAGAGGCCAUCCAUCAGCAAGUGCAGAGGAAAAAAGAGAAGAUGGCCCAGCUAGUCGACCUUUAGAAGAUGAUUGACGAAGCCACUGAAGAAAUGUGUCAUCUUACUCAAGAUGACCAGGACCAAAGGCCUCAGCACAGAGAUCUUCAACAGGAAAGCUCAUUCAACGAAGAUGAAUGGUAUGAUGACUUUCAUCAUGGUAAUUUUACUUUUGAUGAUGCUUCUCCUCUGGCAGCAGAAUUGCAAGCUAUCCCAUGGCCAUAGUCCUACAAACCACCCUAGCUGCCCAUAUAUGAUGUGCACUCGGAUCCAAAGCAAUUCUUGAUGAGCUACAAGGCAACAAUAUCCUCGUAUGGGUUAAUGCCGCUGUCAUGGCUAAGUCCUUCAUCAUGGCAGUACGAAGUGUGGCCUAGACAUAGUACUCCUCUCUUCGUCUAGGAACAAUCACAUCAUGAUAGAAGCUCAAGGAUAUGUUGAUCACUAGUUUCCAAGGUUUUCAGACGAAGCCAGUUACUGCUCAGGCCUUGUUUCAAUGCACACAAGACCAGGAGGAAUACCUUCAGGUGUAUGUUCGAAGGUUUUUGUGUCUUAGAGCAUAAGCACCCACAGUGCCCAAUAAAUUGUCAUUGAGGCCAUGAUCAAGGGACUUAGGCUAGGACCUACAACUCAAUAUUUUGCUAGGAAGCCUCCACAAACCUUGGAGAAGCUUCUUCAGAAAAUGGAUGAGUACAUCCGGGCCGAUAAUCAUUUUUGUCAAAGAAGGGAGGAAGCCUACAGGUUUUCCGAAAUGACCAGGGGCUUUGGAGGGAGACUUCAUCCUAGGCAUGUCCGAUCAAUUCAUAACUCCAACGCCAAUGAUGAAAGGGCCAGCAAUGUUCAGCAUAGCCACCACAGUUCUCAGACUUCAAUCAUGCAUCGAACUUCUUUCAGACCACCGGCUCCGAGGGGCAGAGGAGGAAGAAGUUUCAGUGGAGGAAGGUUUGGCAACCAACCCAAAAAGUUGUAUUGUCUUUUUUGUGGCAAGGAUAAGGGCCACACAACAAGGACAUGUCAGGUCACAAUUCAGAAGCAGAAGGAAAUUGCCGAAGCUAAAGCGCGACGGAGUCAGCCGAAGCAAGUCCUCCACAGUGCUUCAUGUUGUUCCCCCAUAUAUCCCAAAAUACGUAGGCAAUCAACAACCUAUGGCUUCUGUUGCUUCGGCAAGCCAUUCCCCAAAUUCCUGGCCCCAGUUGCCACCACCACCACCAUUGAUCCACAGUCAACAGCCAAAAGGGCGCAAUCAUAUUCAGCAACAGCGCGACUGUUGGGAACUUGUUCUCAAAUGCUAUGAAUUAAGAACAAGGCAACACAAAAAAGGUUAAUGGUUAAUGUCCUUCGUCCUUCGAAGCAUUAUUUCCCUUAGGAUAUAACGAUCUUCGGACGAAGGUCAUGAAGGACGUACCUUCAUCAUCACAGUAUACGUUAAUGAAAGAAGAAGCAUAUGAAACAUGAGAAAUAACAUGAAUUAUCAUAUGACAUCAUUAAUAUAUCUUUAUUAUAUCAUCAUGGAUGAAUAAGAACAAUAUUGAAUUACAUUUGUACCUUCAGCUUGAUAGAAGGCAAAAGUACAAGGAUGACGCACGAGCGAAUACAAGCCAGCGUAAAUAGUAUGGGGUUAUCAUGGACUGAUUGGUCUUUUCCUCUUUAAGUCGGUGCAGCCCUUCGUCUCAAGGCGUACCAUUAUGCCGAAGCUCCUUGGAUAGCAGCUUCGUGUGUACCUUCGCGCUAUGUUUGAUUAUACGCUGAUCUUUCGAAGGUGUUUCUUCUUAAAGGACCUUCAGCGUCGAAGCAGGCCCCCAACAGUAGCCCCUUCGCGGUGCUAGAUCAUUUUUCGUAACGAGCUUGAUCCGUGAAAAAUCUUCAAGGCUUCGGAACGCCGAAGGUCCGAAAAACACCUUCCAUGAGCUUGUUGCUGAGAAACGAUUAAAGUAUUCUGGGCGCGAGGUGGCCCACAACACAGCAGGUAGUGGUCCACCGUUCAGCGGGUGCGAGUGACUGUUCGGCGGGUGCGGGCGACUUGGCGAUUCACCUUCCCACCUGCAGCACUAUAUAAACAGACGGGUAGGUGUGAAGUUACCACAUCAUUCAUUGCCAUUGCUCUGUUGUGCUGUUGAAAAAUUCAACCAUAGCCGAAGCUUUUUCACUGCAUUCUCGAGCGAACCAUCUCUUUUGAAUUAGUUUUGGCAAAAGAAAGAGCUUCAUCAAAACUGUAAAAAUCAUUAGCUUCGUAAAAACCGCAAAAGAUUCAUCAUCAUAUGGCGAGAGUACGCUCGACUGCAAGGGUGACCCAUGAAGGGGAGGAUACUGAAGCCACUAAGACAGCUUCGAUCUCCGAAGUCAUGAGACAAUCGGGAUUAGUUGUGAUGGAGGGAGCCAUUGACGAAGGUGCACCUACUGCCGAAGCUGAACAGGCUGAUAUCGAGGAAGAAAAUGUUGAUGAGGAAGAGGAAGACUAUAACACUCUGAUCCCAACAAAACCCAGCCACUUGGAUUUUGAAAAAUCUAUUGUGUCUGAGGACGACGUGCCCAUGAUGAUGAAGCUGGGUUACUUCGGAGAAGCUGAGAAGAAGCUUAUUCGCUUUGCCGGAGAAGAAACUACUCCAAAGCCGAAAGAUGACGAAGUAGUGGUUUUCAAAAGCUUUUUCAGAGCAGGAUUGCGGUUUCCCUUGAAUGAGAUGAUUGGGGAAGUUUUGGAUAAUUUUGAGAUUUUUCUUCAUCAGCUGACCCCAAACGCCAUUGUUAGGCUCAGCAUCUCCAUCUGGGCCCUUCGAAGCCAAGGGAUGGACCCAAAUGCUGAAGCUUUUUGCCGAGUGCAUGAGCUGCAUUACCAGACGAAGGCUAGAGAAGAUGGGCUCCAUGAAAUUUUUGGUUGCUAUAAUUUUGCAUAUCGCAAAGAUAUGAAGGCUCGAGUCCUCAACUAUCAUACCAAGUGGCCAAUCGGCUGGAAGAAUGAAUGGUUUUAUUUCAAGGCUGAUGAGAAGAAGAGAGAGAAGCUGAUGCAAAUGGUUAUGUGUCCGAUGACUCUAAGCUUCGGACUGACUAGGCCCCUGUGCCGCAUGACGUCGGGGUCACCAUGCCAACAAGCUGUAGCAGAAUUCAGGGUGGUGGCCGAACAGAUCAGCACUAGAGAUCUAGUUCAAGAAUAUUUGGCUAACAGAACGUCUCCAACUUUGAGUGAAUUUAGCAUGCCGAAGCUAAAAAGAACGAAGAAGGCACUUGAACUUGUGCGACUGCCUUAUCGGUUUAAAUUUGAGAAACAGUUCAAGGAACCUUGCCAAGAGUGGCUGGAAAUGAUUGAGACAGUGUGCAAUGAAGUGUUGGGAAAUUACACCAAAAAAGAAGAUCAAUUAAUGUCUGCAGCCUUCGGUACCCGACCAAAACAAAGGUUGAACUGAGUAAUGGACGCUCUAAAUUUUGAAUACCCUGACUACGAGCGUCUCAACAAGGGUGCCGAAGGGGCAAAAAGGAAGAGAGUUGUCACUGUUCUGAGCAUAUAGGCUGCUAGGAUGGUGAAAGAGGACGAAAAAACUCUGAAGAAGAAAAAAUCCGAUCCUGAGCCGAAGGUGGCGACUUCGAAGAAGAGAAAAGCUGCAACUCCAGAGCCGAAGAUGGCUGAGAUAGAAGAGGAUGCUCCUUCAACGCCUUCUACUACCGAAGUAGAAGAAAUUUUAAAGGUAAUGACUGAAUCCUUACCUAUCAAGCUGCUAAGUUCUCUGGGGCCGCAUCUGACAAAAUUUUUUACAGAAGAAGGACGAGCCUUCGGCAGCAAGAAAUGCGGUUGGGCCUAAAAAGUAAAUAAUUGUUACUGUUAUGCAAGCCAUUGAGGAAACACCACCGCCGACCUCAACAUCAAAAAUGACACCAGCUGCUGAAGCUGCUGCUUCUGCCGAAGCUCCGACUACCAAAGCUACCAAUCUGGAGAAUACAUUAUUCGCUAUUGAUAAAGUGCUCUUGGAUUUGGCCGCGGAGGAGACUGCUGCGGCUACAGAAUAAGCCCUGGUCACAGUGCCUGAGAAAGGGAAAGAAAUUGCCGAAGAUGCUUCGGAAGAAAAAGGCUUCAGCUUCCAAAACCUAGUUGAUCAAGAAUUAUCCAAGGCCGAGAAAGAUGAGCUACAGGAGUAUGCUAUAUCCUGUGGCUACCAGCCAGGAGCCAUGCUCUUUGGUGGAAUUAAUGAAGAAGCCUGAGGAUGUAUUCGAGAUCGCACUGGGGCGAAGAUUAUCAGCACUCUGUCGAAGAGUGUUGGUUUUCCGAAGCUUGAAGCUGACAUUAGCAGAUACCAACGACAACACAUCGUUGGUAGCUUAUUCUAUUCCAAUUUUAAGGUAAAAUUUCUUCCUCAACUUUUACUGUUUUGUGAUGAAGCAAGGAUUUCUAAUGAUGGUUAAUUUGCACAGAGUAUGUUGCUAAGCAAAGCCUUGAGAAUGCAACAAGACCUCGAAGAUAAGAGGAAUGAGGUUAUAAUUGAGGGCUUGAAAAGUAAAAUCAAAGAUCAUGAAACUUCUCUUGAAAAGAAAGAUUUUCUUCUUCAAACAAUGGAGGGUUCAUUGGCAGAAGCCCAAGCCUAAAUUGCCAGAUUAAACGAUGAACUCCUCCAAAAAUCAGGAGACUUUGAGCAAGAAAAGAAAAUUUUUGAUGCGAAGCUUGAAGCCGAAGUCGAGAAAAGUUCGAAUCUGCAAAAAUCCUUAAAAGAGCUUUAGGACAAGUGCUUGAACUUCGGCAACCGGUGCACGCAACGGCUGAAACAGGUCUUCAACUCAGUGGGAGCUAGCUCUGAAAAGUUUGAACCUUCGGUUGAAGACCUGCCAAGCACCUUCGAACAUAUUGAGAGCAAAGCUGAGGCGCUUGAAGAAGUUAUAGCUGGGCAUGGCGAUUUCUGUGCCCUGUUGGCUUCUCGCGGCACAGCUGUAGCUUUUAUGAAGGCUGGUUGCACACAUGGGAAAAUUAUAAACAGGCCGAACUUCAGUCUAUCGCCAGCAGAUUUAACUGACAUCCCCAGCCUGGCCCGAAGCAUCGGAAAUAGAUUUAUAAACAAAAUUGGACAAAGGGUGGGCGAGACUUAGCUGGUGACGAAGCUCGAAGUCAUCUUAAGACGGUAUUAAACUUGUACAUGUUGCUUACCUUCUCCUGAGAUUACUUUUUACCUUAUACUGCUUUGUUGUGUACAGGAUGACGAUGCCGAAGGUCAAUAAUCCGAAGCUUGACGGAGACUGAUGAAGCUGCUGCACAAAGCUUUAGAGACAUUUAAAUUAUCUUUGUAAAAGAUAUUGUAAUUUAGGAAUCAAAACAUUACUCUGUAAAUUUGUCCAUACCUUGUAAUAUAUUUUUACAUUUUCAUCCGUGUGUGAAUUGCUUUGAUGUGGACGAAACUUGUAUCUUUUGAGCCGAAGGCGAAAAACACCUUCCCUUCUUUUCGUACACAAUGAAGCAUAUCUUUGCUUCUUUAUACUCAUCGAAACUGUGUCAUCAAAGCUGAAGCAUCUGUUUUGUACUCUAUGUUAUGAUGAUGAUGAUCCUACGAAUGUCUAAAUGAAUGUGUAUGAAUGCAAUGAAUGAUGUGAUGUAAUGUGCAAAUGAAUGUCCAAACACACGCAUAUGAAGCCACACCCAGACUCUGCAUCCCCUUAGGAACGUCUUUUGAGUCUCUUCACCUUCUAUUUCGGUGGUAUAAGUUAUGCAUCCCCUUAGGAACAUCUUUUGAACUUCUUCGCCUUCUAUUUCAGCGGUAUAAGUUCUGCAUCCCCUUAGGAACGACUUUUGAACUUCUUCGCCUUAUAUUUUGGCGGUAUUUGGCUCUGCAUUCCCUUAGGAACGACUUUUGAGCAGAAAACUUACGCUGUGCUCCCUUAGGAACGACUUUUUGUAGCUUCGUCAUGCUCUGCAUCCCCUUGGGGACGACUUUUGAGCUUCUCCCUGCUUUUCCUCUUUUUUCACUCUCUCUGCACUCGAUGGUGCAUGCUCAGAUUUUACAUUUUACAUUCUUUUAGGGGAUUUGGCUCUCGUGGAGCUGAAUAAGAAAGGAAAAAUUACAAGCUAUGGCCCCAUUAAAAACCUUUCGCCCCCUUUGGAAAGGAAAAGGGUGCCAUAGAAAAAAUGAAAAAAGAUUACAUCAAAUUACACAUAAUAUCGCCGAAGCUCAUCCGCAUUCCAAGAUCUGGGUAUGUCGUUGCCGUCCAUAUCCUUUAAUCUUUAAGAACCGAGCCUCGACGAAGAUACCACCAGAAAAGGUCCUUCCCACUUCAGCUGCAACUUGCCUACUGUGUCCGGAUUGGCCACUCUUCGAAUCACCAAAUGCCCUGGCUUGAUAUUUUUCAACCGAACUUUUCUGUCACGCCAUUUUAUUGUUUCGGCUUGAUAUUUAUUGAUGUUCUCCACAACCUAAAGUCUUGUCCCCUCUAUAGUAUCUUUUGUUAUGUGAUAAUCAGCUUCGUCUUCUGCCGAAGCUGUUGUUCUUAUUGACCCUGCUUUAGCUUCUUCUAGAGUGAUAGCUUCGUCACCAAAUAAUAGUUUGAAAGGUGUAAAACCUGUUGAUCUUGAUGUGGUUGUAUUGUGGCUCCACACUACUUUAAUCAACUCAUCUCGCCACUUUCCUCUGGGCUGAUUGAAGAUUAGCUUCAUUAUUCCCGUCAUUAUAAUGCCAUUUUCUCUUUCUACCAGCCCGUUUGACUCUAGAUGCCUAACUGAUGCAAAAUGAAUCUUCGUGCCAAUUUGGUCACAGAAAUCCUUGAACGUUUCAGCAUCAAACUGUGUUCCAUUGUCGACAGUUAUAGCCUUCGGCACGACGAAGCGACAAACAAUAUUUUGCCAGAAAAAUUUCUGGACUGUAACCGAAGUUAUUGUAGCCAAAGGCUUUGCUUCAAUCCACUUAGAAAAAUAUUCUACAGCCACCACAACAUAUUUCAAAUUACCUUGCACCGGUGGAAGUGGGCCUAACAAAUCUAGGCCCCAUCUUUGCAAUGGCCAAAUAGACUGUAUUAGCUGGGUGAGAGAUAAAGGUUGCUUCUGGUCUCUUGCACAUUUUUGACAAUUUUCACAUUUUUGAACUAGCUCUACUGCAUCCGAAGCUGCCUUCAGCCAGUAAAAUCCUUGUCUAAACACUUUUCCCAGCAAGGGCCUAGACCCAAUAUGAGAUCCACACAGACCUGCAUGUAUCUCCUUCAUUAAUUCAAUACCUUCAGCUUUGGAUAAACACUUGAGGAGUGGAGAACAGACUCCAUGUUCAUAUAAUUCCCCUUCUAUUAUCACAUACGGUCUUGUCCUUGCUUCCAUUCUCUUAUUAUAAGCUUCGUCAUCCGAAAGACAAUUACCUUGGAGAAAAGAUAUAAUUUCAGUCCUCCAAUCUUCACUAUGUACUAGGGAAAUUGCAAGCAUUGCUCUCUCCAUAAGUUCAACCGAAGGUGCUUUUAUUGUCUCAAAAAAUACUUCCGAAGGUAGUGGGAGCCCCUGUGCCGCUGACUUGGCUAGCAAAUCAACAUGCUCAUUUUCCCCUCUUGGAAUAUUCUUGACAGAAAUUCCUUCGGAAGAAGCUUCGAGUCUUCGAACUGUGUCCAAAUAUUUUUUUCAAGCUUCGGGUCUCUAGCCUUGCUACUUUUGUCAAUAUGACCAGAAAUGACUUGAGAGUCAAUUUUAAGGAUGGCCCUUCUUAUUCCCAUUGCCUUUAACUUCCGAAGCCCCACAAAAGUGCUUCGUAUUCAGCAAUAUUAUUUGUACAACUGAAGUCAAGCUUUGCUGCAUAACAUGUUCUGACUUUAGAAGGGGCAACUAAGACAGCAGUCGCUCCUGCACCGAAGGUUUCCAGGAACCAUCGCAAAACACUAUACAAGCUUCGGCAUCUUUAUUUGUUUCUUCUUCCUGAGCCCCUGGCGUCCAAUCAGCGAUGAAGUCUGCUAACGCCUGGGACUGAAUUGAGGAUCUAUGCACAUAAUCAAUACUAAAUUCGUUAAGCUCCACAGCCCAUUUCCCAAUCCUUCCAGUAGCUUCUCUGUUCCUCAUUAUGUCCUUCAGAGGCUGUGACGAAGGAACAAUUAUGUGAUAUGCUUGAAAAUAAUGUCGAAGCUUCCUGGAGGCCAUUAACACAUCAUACAACACAUUCUCCAAUUCUGUAUAAUUUUUCUUUGAUAAACUUAAAACUUCAGAGACGAAGUACACUGGAGCCUGCUUUUUGAUUUGGCCAUCUAGCUUCUCCUGUACAAGAGCCACACUAACUGCAGAAUGCGAACUGCCACAUAUAAGAGUAAUGGAGCCCCUAGCGAAGGUGAAGUUAGUGUCGUUAGAUCGAUCAAGUAUUGCUUCAACUCUUCGAAAGCUUUUUGCUGAGCCGGACCCCAUUGAAAAACUUCGGCUGACUUCAAUAUUUCAAAGAAUGGCAGAUUUCUUUCUGCUGAUCUGGAUAUGAAUCUAUUCAAUGAUGCUAGUCUUCCUGCUAGCCGUUGAGCCCCCUUCUUUGUGCUUAGUGGCUCCAUCCGAAGGAUAGCUUCAAUCUUGCUCGGGUUGGCUUCAAUUCCCUUCGUUGAUACCAAACAACCAAGGAAUUUGCCCUUUUCACCCCAAAAACACACUUUUAUGGAUUCAACUUCAGGCCAGCUUGCCUGAAAUUAGCAAAUGUCUCUUGCAAAUCAGCAAUGUGAUUUUCUUGCUUCGUGCUUUUCACUAUGAUAUCAUCAACAUAGGUCAGUACAUUCCUGCCUAUUUGAGAAUGAAGGACCUUGGCUGUCAUUCUGCUGAAGCUUCCUCCAACAUUCUUGAGCCCCUCAAGCAUCCAAAGGUAGCAAUAGGUGCCACUGGGAUUUAUGAAACUAGUCUUUGGCUCGUCUUCCUUUUUCAUCUAGAUUUGAUGAUAGCCUGAGUAACAAUCCAGUCGACUCAUGAGCUCUGAAGAAGCUGCUGCAUCUACUAGAGAGUCUAUUCUUGGCAAUGGAAACUCGUCCUUUGGGCAUGCCUUGUUAAGAUAUGUGAAAUCUAUACACAUUCUCCAUUUACCAUUGGCCUUCUUCACCAUAACAGUGUUGGCUAGCCAUUCUGGGUAUUUCACCUCUCUGAUCACACCAGCACUAAGAAUUCUCUUUACUUCGUUCCGGGCACCUUUAGCUUUGUCUUCAGACAUCUUUCGAAGCCUUUGUUUUCUUGGCCUGAAGGAUGGAUCCACAUUGAGUGAAUGUUCAAUAACAUCUCUAUUGAUGCCAUAGAGUUCAUUGGCUGACCAAGCAAAGACAUCUUUGUUGUUGAAUAAAAAUCUUAGCAAAGUCUUCUCUUGCUCAUCAGAUAACUAAGACCCCAGUAGUACCCUUUGUUCUGCUAUAUCUUGACAUAGAAGCAUAGGCUUCGGCUGAUCUGCCGAAGCAGCCUUCUCUCUUUUGUAUUUGUACUGCUGAUAGGCUUCAACUCCAUCUAUGUUAUGGAUUGCCUUUAAAUCUGUCCAAUUUCGUUCGACCCUCCUCGCAGCUUCUUGACUCCCAUGGACAACAAUAGGCCCUUGUUCCGAAGGUAUUUUCAUGCAUAAAUAUGCUGGAUGAAGUAUUGCUUCGAAGGCAUUGAGUGUCCCUCAACCAAUGAUUGCAUUGUAGGGGUACUCCAUGUCAACAAUGUCAAAGAUAACAUGCUCAGUCCUUGUGUUGUGGACAUAGCCGAAGGUAACUGACAUUGUGAUUUUACCAAGUGCGACAAUCUGCCUUCCUCCAAAGCCACAAAGAGGGUGUGUAGCAUCAUGAAUCUUGACUUCUGGCUCUUGCAUCUGUCUGAAGGCCUUAGCAAAAAUGAUAUCCGCUGCACUGCCUGUGUCAACCAGAACAUUAUGGACCAGAAAUCCCUUGAUGACACAAGAUAUGACGAUAGCAUCAUUGUGAGGGUAAUCUUUGAGCUGAAGGUCCUCCUGGGAGAAGGUGAUUGGGAUGUGGGGCCAUUUGGACUUGAUGAAGGGUCCCUAUACCCCAACAUGUUGCACCCUUCUCUGCGCUUCCUUCUUCUGCUUUUUGUUAGCCGGCUCUGAACUUGAACCGCCUGUUAUCGGGAGCACCAGCUUCGUAGCCGAAGGUGCUACGACUUGGUUGUUGAACGAAGCCAUCAGCUCAAAUGUGGAAGUGAGUUCACCGGAGGUGUGCGCCAAUGUUGGGAACUUGUUCUCAAAUGCUAUGAAUUAAGAACAAGGAAACACAAAAAGAGGUUAAUGGUUAAUGCCCUUCAUCCUUUGAAGCAUUAUUUCCCUUAGGAUAUAAUGAUCUUCGGACGAAGGUCAUGAAGGACGUACCUUCAUCAUCACAGUAUACGUUAAUGAAAGAAGAAGCAUAUAAAACAUGAGAAAUAACAUGAAUUAUCAUAUGACAUCAUUAAUAUAUCUUUAUUAUAUCAUCAUGGAUGAAUACGAACAAUAUUGAAUUACAUUUGUACCUUCGGCUUGACAGAAGGCAAAAGUCCAAGCGUGACGCACGAGCGAAUACAAGCCAGCAUGAACAGUACGGGGGUACUGUUCACCUAUUUAUAGGCACGGGACGCAGCCCGGUCAAAAUUACAUUUAUGUCCUUGAUAACUAGUUACAAUCAUGACACAAGUUAUCAUGGACUGAUCGGUCUUUUCGUCUUUAAGUCGGUGCAGCCCUUCGUCUCAAGGCGUACCAUUUGCCGAAGCUCCUUGGAUAGCAGCUUCGUGUGUACCUUUGCGCUAUGUUUGAUUAUACACUGAUCUUUCAAAGGUGUUUCUUUUUAAAGGACCUUCGGCGACGAAGCAGGCCCCCAACAGUGACCUUCGGGAGGGGUCCGAAGCUCGCACAGUCAACAACACUGUGCCUAAAUCGAAGCAUAUUUACUAAAAGGAAUACAGUGCCUCGGCCAAGGAAUAUGAUGAUUUGAUGUAUCUUAACUCUUUCUGCCUUUUAUAUUUUUCUUGAAAGAAAAACAAUAUAGGAGAGAUCAAUUUUCAACUUGAUGUAGUAAUAUUGUCAUUACAUCAUCGAGUAUAACGGAAUUCGGCUUCGAAGCUACAAAGUCGUUCCUAAGGGAGCGUAGAGUAAGUUUUGAAGCUAUAAAGUCGUUCCUAAGGGAGCGCAGAUUAAGUUCCGAAGCUAGAAAGUCGUUCCUAAGGGAGCGCAGAGUAAGUUCCGAAGCUACAAAGUCGUUCCUAAGGGAGCACAGAGUAAGUUUCGAAGCUCAAAAGUCAUUCCUAAGGGAAUGCAGAGCCAAAAUACCACCUAAAUAAAAGGUGAAGAAGCUCCAAAGUCGUUCCUAAGGGGAUGCAGAGCUUAAAUACCACCUAAAUCAGAGGUGAAGAAGCUCCAAAGUUGUUCCUAAGGGGAUGCAGAGCUUAGCUCCAAAGUCAUUUCAAAGGGGAUGCAGAGCUAAAAUACCACCUACGUAAAAGGUGAAGAGACUCCAAAGUCGUUCCUAAGGGAAUGAAGAGUCUGGAUGUGCUUUCGUGUGAGUGCUUAUCUUCGACAUAAACAUCAUAUUGCAUCAUGUCAUCACAUCAUUUCACAUAACAUUACAUCAUACAUCAUAUUGCAUCAACAAGAAAAUUGUGUAAAAGGAAAAAUGCUCCUCCAAAAACAUCUGAUGGAUCCUGAAACAAUGUGCUGAAGCACAAUGUAUACCUUCGACAGAUAUAAUUUUACACAACAGCGAAAUCUUUGUCAGCAAUGUUAUUAUACAACAGCCGUGGUAAAGUAUGAGGUAUUCAAUCAAUAGAGGGGGUAGUUUUUCUUUGUGAAGCAUGAAAAGAAGGGAAGGUGUUUUUUCGCCGAAGGCUCAAAAAUGGUAUGUACACAAAUUUCAUGCAUCACAAAGAAAUAUAUUACAUUAAUAUACAUACAAAUAUUUGAUGUUUGACUCAUAUACAAAUAUUACAUUUCCUAGUACACAAGAACUUAGUCUUCCUUCAGUAUCCUCUCAACGGCUUCAUGUAAAAGUUUAUCGAUGACUUCGACAACAACUUCGUUAGCAAUCUUCAUUACAUCUAAAGCCUCUUUCAUUAUUGGAUCCUCCUCAAGAUUGUAUGGCUCCGAUGGUGGCAAAAGGACGACUGUAGUAAAAAGCAUAAUGAUAAAUUUUUGAAGCUACAAACAAACAACGAGACAAAGAUUUAAAGAAUACCUAUAAUCAAUGCGCGUUCAAUAGCUUCUUCAGCCUCCUUUGCCUCCACUUGUGCAUCGCGAGAUUCUUUUUCACUCUUCUUUAUAGCUUUGUCAGCCAUCUCACGACCACCCUUCAUCCACACAUCGGAGUAGAAUUUGGCGCCCAAUGUAGAAGCCUCAACUGAAGGGUCCUUAGUAUUGUCAGCUGAGAGAAUAGAUUCUGGUUGGGCCACGGCCUUGACAUGUUCACACCCAGCCUUUUCUAGAAUUGCCGCAACCCCUCGGGCACAGGAAAAAGCACAAAAAUCUCCGCGAUUGCUAAGGAUCUCAUCGAAAGCUUCGGCUUCUUCACCUAUCCAUUGGAUAAAUCCUUCGGGAUCGCCGCGAAUAAAUUUUUGUUCUGAGGAAUACACCCCCAACUUCGCAAAGCUAUCUUUUAGCUUCUUUGUGCAAUCCAAGGAUCUUUCAUAGCACCUCUCCCUGGAAUCAUGAAGCUCUUCAAUAUUCUUUUGUAGCGUUGAACUUGUCCAUUCACUUAUUUAUUGCUUUGCCUUCGCAACUUUAAAAUUUUCAUUCAUUUCAGCAAGUUUUUUCUUUAGAUCGUCAACUUCGGCUUUGUGAGUUUUGGCUUGUGCAUUAAUCCUGGCUUCGCUGACUUUUAGCCUAUCUACUAAGGAGAGCAGAAUCUUAUCUUUUUCAAGGGCUUCAUUCCUCAGUGUGAUGACCUCUGACCGAAGAUUCCCAAGUGCCAUCUGAUAGCUUUCGUCAUCAGCUUCUUUUUGAGCCCGUAAAGCUUUACUAAGAAUUAAGCCCUAAGAACAAAAAUAUAUGUGUGAGAACAUAAAAAUAGUAAGAAAACCAACAAACAUAACUUAUUUUAUGAGCAAAAGUAUAUAUACCUUCAAUCUAUUAUGUAACACCCCUGGUGUUACUAAAGCCCUGACCAAAGAAGCACCUUUGUGUCCUACUAAAACUAUAUGCUAAAAUGGGAAGUGAAGGAACUCAAAGUUGUAGAAGCUUGGUUAAGAUAAGCAUUUACCAUAACAAGAGAGAAAACCCUAUCCUUCAUAUAAUGUUCACCCACAAACAAGAUUCUAAAACUCUAAAUCCUUCUUAAGCCCUUAAACCCUAACCAUGGGAUUAAAGGGGAAAGGGUGGGCAAAUGAUCAAAACACCAAAAGGGACCUUUACUAAGAUGAAGUGUAUUAGUAAACCUACAAAUUUUGUUAAGGGAAGACUUGCAAAAAGGCCAAACCAAAACCCCAAAACAAUUCUCCAAGAGGGGAACACACUUGUGCCUUUCAAAAAAAAUUCUAAGUCCCAAAACUACCCUAGCCCAAAGAUCAAAGGUGUUCACCUUUUGUGCUGGUGCCAAAACCAGUUGGACCAAAUAGCAAAAAGUACCCAAAUCACCCAAGGCACCUCCCUGAAAAAUUUGAAUUCAAACCGAGGUCGUUUGACAUGGUUUGACAUCGGUUUUUUCACUGGUGAACAGUGCCAACAGACUUGACUUGGCGCCCGCAUAUCUCGCAAGCUAGGGCAUAUCUCCCAUUGGAACUUACACAAACUAGCUAGCCCUAGGUGCUAGGAAGAGAUCUGCACAAGACCCUUGGCGAGAUUCGCACGUUUCUGAUCCCUACAGGCGCUUGAACAAAGGCAGAAACAAACGCACACGUGUUCGACGCGUUCUGGCGCGCCAGAGCAUGCCCUCAGCGCUCCACCCAUGCGUGCAGCCCCACGCCGCGCCAACCUCGUGUCCACGCCCAUGCCCUCGCCUAUAAAAGCCAUCCCGGCCUCGACCGUACACCCCCGCGUGUUGCUGACCCAACCCGAGCUCGAGUUCGCCGGAGGUUGCCCCGUGAGCGAGGUGCCAGCGGCCACGCAAGCCACGACCACCGUAGACCGGCCAACCCAGCCACUCCUCGUCCCGUUCGACCCUCGGGAUAGCCUCUACGGACCUUGGUGAAGCUCCCAGAGCCGGGGAUUAAACUCUACCUCACCAGAGACACCGGAUCGACGUCGCCGGACUUCAACCGACCGCCGGUGCACGUAGACCGAGCUGCACGGUAAGCCUUCCGUCCAUUCCUUGCUCUGGUAGCGUCCUUAGCACACCGUGAAGUUUCCUGUGCCACUGGAUUGAGCAAUACCGCCAUGAGCAGGCCAGAGCGUACGCCGCCGACGAGCCCGACCGCCUGCGCACGUGGUCCGACCGAUUCCGACCACCACCGUCGACGAGUCACACCUCGACGUGACCGCCAGGACCUCCCAGAUCUAACCCCGCCCUUCACCGGACCUUCCUCGCUGCCGGUAAGCCGCACCACCCUGUUUAUUCCCCGUGGUUACUGUUUCAAGGGGGGAGGGAGCUCAGUGGAAAAGAAGAAGAAGCGGGGGGGGUUUGAAUAGUCAGUGACUCAGAUGAAUAGUUCCACAGGGGUAUGGUUUAACGAAUUAGUUAUGGGAAAGCCCAGGGGUCUCGAUGCAAACAGGUUUUUCAUUAAACCUUUUAAACAUUAUUUAUUUAAAUGCAAAUAGAGCUGGCAAAAAUUCAUAACUCCAGUUUUAUCCAACCAAAUUUGGUCAAACCAAUUUUGCUAAGUUCUAAAUAAUAUGAACUACUUAGGAAAAAUACCAAACACCCUAAGUACUGCAAGACUUUUUAAAGUUUUGAUUUAAAUAGUAAACUGGCCAAAAGCAAAAUAAAGAAGGGAAAAAUAGCUGCACUGUUAGACUGAGGUCAAGAAAAAUUAGAGAGGUACUUAACCACUAACUAUCUUAUUUAAAAAUAAUAAACCCCUAAGUACACCAGAUUAGGGAGUAGUUUACCAUUAAAACUUGCUUUGAUUCAAACUUAAGGAAAAGGGAGUUUAAAAUAAGAACCAGAGGCCAAUCGCAUUUUUUCUAGCUUACUUUAGAGACAUAAUUCACUAGGAAAUUUUGUCAAGCCCUCUGUUAGUACAAAAGAAAUGCACCGCAUUUUAUUUCAUGAAAACAAUGAAAAUUUAGAAAAAUCCUAGAAAAAUAACCCUAAAGAGAACCCACCCCCACCCCAAUCCUGGGGGUAACUAAUAAUAUGCUAGUAGAAAUCUAAGAAAAAAUAUAAGUUCUGUUGUUUGACAUUUUUCAAAUAACAAGUUAGUUAUAAGUGCAUUUUUGACAUUAAACUUUAGAAACACACAAUUACAUACCUAGUGGGUCUUUUUUGUGAUUUUUAGCACAGAGACCUAUUAUCACCCAUGAAUCUUAGUAAAAAUAAAAUUUAGUUCAGAAACCUCACCUAAAUCAGAGCUAUAGUGCAAAGUGCCCUUUCACCCUUACUUUUGUUAUUUUUGCACAAGGAGUAUCUCAAUUAAUUUCAACCUCAAAUUUUUAGAAUGAAUCACAGAGGUCAAUGUUUACCCACUGUAAUUUUUUUAACAUUUUUGGAAAAUUCUAGAUUGCCAUGAUAGUUCAAAAGCCGUCAAUAAUAAGCAAAAUAGAAAGUAAAAUGAGAAUUUUUGGGAGAAAUUAGUGGUGUGCAAAUUAAAUCUUCCAAGGGCCCAAAGCAAACAUCCAAGGGAUGACUAAAAUUUUAAGGUCAUUCAAGACCCUAAAAUGAGUGUAUGAAACCCUUAACACACCAUUCGCCAAAGGAAACCAUAGUGUACCCACUAUUUUAAUACUGCUUCACCCUACGUAGCAUUUACAACUUGCCAUAUCAUUAAUAUGCAUAUAUCUUAUUCAUUGCAUUCGAUAGAUUGUAAUGUCGCUGAUGGAGAGUACAUCCUCGUUCCAAAGCAAGGAGUUGCUCAGGAGGUAGCCCAGGAGCCAGCACCAGAGCCUGCCAUCGAGGAUCUGCCUGCCCCAGCUUUGGAAGGCAAGCCUCGGUUUUAUGCAUAACCGUUUAUAUAUGCUAUUUUACUACACUUAAUGUUUGUAGGCUUGUACUGUGCACUUAAGUAUAGGAGUUGAUUGAAACCCUAGUUGCAUGAACUCAGGAUUCCUUUUGAGAUGGAUACUAAUAUGCUAGGUCGAGUAGCUUCUUUACUAAUUAGGGAUCUCGGUAGAAGUCGAGUGAUUUUUCUAGCACUCAUGCGAGGUCAUGAAUUGGUUGUAUCCAUUUUGAUAACGGAAUGAUGAUGGUCUGUGGACAUGGAUCCAUGGGGAUGCGUGGUUUACGAGAAGAAAUUGGAAUAAGCAUUAACGUGCAGAUACCUGUGUCAAGCGUUUGAACGUACUAAACACAUGCCAAGAAAUAUGGCAAAUCGGUAAGCCUAGUACCUAAGUGAACCUGCCUGCAGACUUUACCCCUCACGCGACUUGAGACGUGGUCUCCCAUUCCGGUUAUGGUGGGUACAAAUGCGGUCACUGCACGACGGCAGUCAGGGUCAGUGAGGCAUUAUACGCCAAGGCGGUGAGCCCUGUUCUGUUGCCAGGGAAUCGAUGGGGACGAUUGAUGUAACACCCCAGGUGUUACUUAGGGUUUUCACUCAAGGCUACACUAUUGAACCCAUCAUCACAUGUGGUCUAGUUUGAGAAAAAGACACCAAACUUGGGGAUCAAGAUCCUAAGUAGGUGUAACCUAUCUUAGAAGUCAUGCCUUGGCCUUAUCAUGCACUAAAGAGAAGGGAAUGACCCAAACCCUAAUUCAAAUCCCUUAUAGGCAAAUGGAGCCCUAGAGGGGAUUAUGGCAAAAAGUCUAUGUAAAUCACAUUGUCAUGACUUGGACUAAUUAUAAAAGUUGUAGUACACUUAAUACCCUACAAAACAUAGAAAGAGAGUGACCCCAAAAAGGAUUAAGAAAAACCCCAAAAAGGUCACCAAAGAGAAAGACAUAAAAGAAAAAUCAGGUUUUUUCUCAAGUUCAAAACCGACCCUCUUUCAAAGAUCAAACAUGUUCACCUUGUUCCCAAACUCAAAACCUUAUCGCCCAAUUGACAAAAUGGCGCCAAAAGACCCCUAGAAUACCCUGGAAAAGUUUGAACCCAACCCUAAGCCAUUUGACACGACUUGGCAUGGCUUUUGUCUUAGUGUGGACAACUCGGAUAGAGCCAACUUCUCACCCCCAUAUCUCUCUACCCCGACCAUAUCUUUGCUUGGAACUCACAUCGAAAAGGUAGGAUUUGGUGCAGAUAAGAGACCGUACACGGGGGUUUUGCUAAGAUCUGCAUGCUAAGUCAACCAAAUCGGCUGUUGAACCCUGGCAGAAGUAAACCCCCACGUGUUCGACGUGGGCUGACACUCGGGGGCGCGCCCAGAGCACGCCCGCACGCGAACCCCCACGCGCCCUCGGCCGCCCCGUGCCCACACCCGUGCCAUGGCUAUAAAACCCACCCUAGUGCACGGCCAUCUUCCCCGUUGCCUCCUCUGUACCACGCCUAACCCUCCCGAGCUCGCCCGCAGCUCAGGCGACCUCCCCGCGACCCGCUAGAGCCGCCCGAGGGCAACCACCGUGGCCAAACCCUUUCCCGUCCACCUCCGCUUGAUCCGAGCCCUCGGAUAGCUUCCCCAGGAGGCCGUGAAGCCUGCCCGAGCUUGAGUCGAGGACCAGCCCCACCGGAACAGUGUAAUCGCGCUCGCCGGAGUUCGUGAACCCGCCGGAGCACGUGGAUCGGGUAACCCUCUGCACCAUUUCUCAAUUCAUUGCGCGCAUGGCCUCUACAUCACCCCGUGGAGGUCCUCAUGCACUUUAAUUGAACCCUACCGCCGUGGUUUGGCCGGAGCAGGAGCCGCCGACGACCUCCGCCGCCUGCGCUCGUGGCCAGGACAGCUCCGACCACCUCUAACACCGACCCGCACACCGACGUGACCGCCGUGACCUCCCCGACACCACUGACCACCUCGCCGGAGCUCUACUGCCGCCGGUAAGGCUCGCCGCCGUAAUCUUUGCCACGGGUACUGUUUAAGCCAGCCAGGGAGUGCGGGUUAGAUUUAGGCUAAGUCCAGGGGGUUUUGUGCAAGGUCAGUGACUCAUGCAAAUAGUAGACCAAGGGCUGUUCUGUGAGAGAAAAGGGGGAGAAAACCCAGGGACCUCAGCGCAAAUCUGUAUUUCUUUUCCAUUUCGAAUUUACUUUUCUUUUAAAUAUUACAAAGAACUUAAUAAAUGCAUAACUUGAAAAAUAAUCAUCCAAAAUUAGUCAAACCAAUUUUGCCAGACUUUGUGAAAUAUAAACUAUCAGGCAAAAAUGAUAAACCCCAUAGUUCCUGUUUUAUUUUCUAGAGUUUUGAAUUAAAUAAGAAAACUGCCCAAAACUUAAUAUUAGAGGGAAAAAUAGAAAUAUUGUUAGACCAGGGUUAAGAAAAAUAGUGGAGACACUAACCUAGUAGUGACACUAUUUAAAAUUAAUAAACACCCCAGUAUACAAGGUUAAGGAAUGUUUUUUUACUGAAACUUGUUUAUGCUCAAACUUAGGAAAAUUAAAAAGGGGGAUUAAAAAGGGAAACCAGGGGACAACCAUAUUUUUCCUAGCAUGCCUAAGUUAUGUAGUUCACAAGAAAAAUCUAUUGGACCAUAGUCCAGUAAAAGGAAAUUGCACUCACAAUUCUUCAUGAAAACAGAGAAAACUUUGAAAAGUCAUAAGAAAAUAAUCCUAAGGAGAAAACACCCCUACCUUAGGAAUGACUAUUCUUGUGCUAAGAAGAACCUAGGAAAAAUACAAUUUCUGUUGUUUGAUAUUUUUCAAAUAGCAAGUUAGUUAUAAGUGUCUUUUUGGCAUUAAACUUCAGAAAAUCAUAACUAAAUAAUCACUAAGUAACCCUUUAUGAUUUUUUGCACAGAAACAUGUUAUUACCCAUAGAUGCCAGCAAAAAUAACUUUUAGUACAGAUCCCACACCUAGAUCAGAGUUGUAGUGCAAAGUGACCCCUCUGCCCCAACUUUUGUUAUUUUUGUCCAGGGCAUGUUCUGUUUAUUUUUGACCUCAAAUUUAUAGGACAGACUUCAGAGGCCAAUAUUCACCCACUAUAAGUUUUACAGAAUUUUUUGGAAAUUUUGAAAUCACUGUUGUAGUUCAAACCCCCCCCCCUUAAGAGCAUAAAAAGACAAUAAAAAGAAAAAUUAGUAGUGGAGAUUAAUGUUGCCCUAACCAAAACAACAAAACCUUUGAAUACCUAAUAGAACCUUUAAAGGGCAAUCCAAAUCUUAAUCCACUAUGUUUACCUCUAAGCAAAACCUCAGACCUAAAUUGAUAAGCAUAAACCACUAAGAGCUUCUGAUAACAGGGAAACCCUAAGUUAUCAACUAACUUAGAUUUUCUUCACUAAGCAUAAUGGUUACUAAAUCCUGCAUAUCAUAGCAUACAUAUUUCUUAUUCAUUGCAUUCGAUAGAUUGCAACCUCGCUGACGGAGAGUACAUCCUCGUGCCGGAGCAAGGAGUUGCUCAGGAGGUAGCCCAGGAUCCAGCACCAGAACCUGCCAUCGAGGAUCUGCCUGCCCCAGCUUUGGAAGGCAAGCCCCGGUUUUAUGCAAGACCAGUUCUAUAUAUUAUUUUACUGCACUUAAUGUUUGUAGGCUUGUACUGUGCACUUAAGUGUAGGAGUUGACUGAAACCCUAGUUGCAUGAUCUCAGGAUUCCUUUUGAGAUGAAUACUAGUAUGCUAGGUCGAGUAGCUGCUUUAUUAAUUAGGGAUCUCGGUAGAAGUCGAGUGAUUUUCUAGCACUCGCGUGAGGUCAGGAAAUUGGUUGUAUCCACUUUCAUAUCAUAAUGAUGUUGGUCUGUGGACACGGAUCCAUGGGGAUGCGUGGUCUACGAGAUGAAAUUGGAAUAAGGAUUAACGUGCGGAUACCUGUGUCAAGCGUUUGAACGUACUAAGCACAUGCUGAGAAAUAUGGUAAAUCGGUAAGCCUAGUACCUGAUUGAACCUGGCAGUAGACUUUGCCCCUCACGCUACCUGAGACGUGGUCUCCCAUUCCGGUUAUGGUGGGUACAAGUGCGGUCACUGCUCGACGGCAGUCGGGGUCAGUGAGGCAUUGUACGCCAAGGCGGUGAGCCCUGAUCUGCUGACGGGGAAUCGAUGGGGAUGGCCGAAUUAUUACGUGGAAGUGCUAGUGUGGGCCAAUCCACUUUGACUCGUUUUUAUAGUUUACAUACCUUUGUACUACCUCUGCUUACUGCCGUAUUUAUGUUAAUGCACUUUCCAAUGAUACGUAAGCAAGGUAUUUCGGGUCCGUUAUAGGGAAGGCAUAGCAUAGAGAAUUCUAAUUCUCAUAUAUCAUAUCGGGUAGGUUGUGGUAUUUCAUUGCUACAAACAUGGGUUAUUGUAAAAUAAGACAUGUCAUUUGGAUACUUCUCUUCAACUUCGAAGUAUUUUUAUACAAAUAGUUGAAGUGAAUUUUACGAAAGAAAAUAAGGCGGAUUAUGGGAGUGUGUGACUUGAAUUAUUAAUUUGGCCAUGCAGAUAGAGAAUUGGAUCUGCCACAUUAGAAUUCACGACCAAAGGUGUCUCCGCAUCCAAUCAACACGAU
rnacentral:lncRNA from 1 species